rnacentral:lncRNA from 1 species
GGCGAAUGCCUUUUGGUCUCUGUAAUGCACCAGCCACUUUUCAAAGAUGUAUGAUGCACAUUUUCUCUGACAUUAUUGAAGAAAAAGUUGAGGUGUUCAUGGAUGACUUUAGUGUCUAUGGCUCCUCCUUCUCGGAUUGUCUCUCAAAUUUGUCACAGGUUUUGGAGAGAUGUGAGCAGCAUAACUUGGUGUUGAACUGGGAGAAGUGCCACUUCAUGGUUCAGGAAGGAAUAGUUCUUGGACACAAGAUAUCUGAGAAGGGCAUAGAGGUUGAUAGGGCAAAGGUGGAAGUGAUGGUGAAUCUGCAAACUCCCACUUCAGUUAAAGGGAUAAGGAGUUUCCUUGGGCAUGCAGGGUUUUAUAGAAGAUUCAUAAAGGACUUCUCAAGAAAUGCCAGGCCCUUGACAAGACUGUUGUGUAAAGAAGUGGAUUUCAUCUUUGAUGCUGAAUGUGAGGAGGCCUUCAAGUUGAUCAAGGAGGCAUUGGUUAGUGCACCAAUAGUUCAGGCAUCAGACUGGUCCCUUCCUUUUGAGGUCAUGACAGAUGCAUCUGAUUUUGCUGUUGGAGCAGUGCUUGGGCAAAAGAAAGACAAGAAGCUACAUGUCGUCUACUAUGCCAGUAGAACACUUGACUCUGCACAAGAGAAGUAUGCUACUACUGAGAAGGAGAUGCUGGCAAUAGUCUUUGCCUUUGAUAAGUUCAGAAGCUACCUGGUGGGAUCAAAAGUCAUUGUAUAUACUGAUCAUGCGGCCCUCAGGUAUUUGAUGACCAAGAAAGAUGCCAAGCCAAGGCUGUUAAGAUGGGUUUUAUUGCUCCAAGAGUUUGAUAUGGAAGUGCUUGAUAAAAAGGGCAUUGAGAAUGGGGCUGCAGACCAUCUCUCCAGGCUGAGGAUUGAUUCUGAAGUGCCUCUCAAUAAUAGUCUUCCUGAGGAAUCACUGAUGGUGCUCCAUUCUUAUUUGGAGUUUGAAGAAGUGGACAGCAUUCAAGAUAGGAGGAUGCCUUGGUUUGCAGACAUUGUGAACUAUCUUGCUUGUGGAGUGGAACCACCAGAAUUGGAUGCUUACCACAGGAAGAAGUUCUUCAGAGAAGUUGAAAGAUACCAUUGGGAUGAGCCCUACCUCUAUGUCCUUAACAAAGAUCAGCUGUAUAGAAGGUGUCUUGCUGAGGAAGAGAUGCAACCUGUGUUGCAAGAGUGUCAUGGUUCAGCUUUUGGAGGUCACAUGGGAGCAUUCAAGACUGUGGCCAAGGUUCUUCAGAGUGGGUUUUGGUGGCCUACAAUGUUCAAAGAUGCUCAGUUGGUGGUUUCAGCAUGUGAUGCCUGUCAGAGGCAUGGGAACAUAUCAAAGAGGAGUGAGAUGCCUCAAAACCCCAUUCUAGAAGUUGAGAUCUUUGAUUGCUGGGGGAUUGACUUUAUGGGGCCCUUCAUUUCAUCCUAUGGGAAUCAGUAUAUACUUGUUGCUGUGGACUAUGUGUCCAAAUGGGUUGAGGCCAUUGCUUCCCCUACCAAUGAUUCCAAGGUUGUAGUGAAGCUGUUCAAGAGCAUUAUCUUCCCAAGAUUUGGAAUUCCAAGGGUUGUCAUCUCUGAUGGAGGAUCUCAUUUUGUGAACAAGACUUUGGAGGGUUUGUUGAGAAAGCAUGGAGUGAAACACAAGAUAGCUACUCCUUAUCAUCCUCAAACUAGUGGCCAGGUUGAGGUAUCUAAUAGACAGAUCAAGGCCAUUCUUGAGAGGACUGUUAGCUCAACCAGAAAAGAUUGGAGCAAAAGGCUAGAUGAUGCAUUGUGGGCUUACAGGACUGCCUUUAAAACUCCAAUUGGGACAUCACCUUUCAGUCUGCUAUAUGGGAAGAGCUGCCACCUUCCUGUUGAGUUGGAGUACAAGGCUAUGUGGGCUCUGAAGUUACUGAAUUUUGAUAUCAAGACAGCUCAAGAGAAAAGGGUCGUGCAACUCCAUGAGCUUGAGGAGAUUAGGCUUGAGGCUUUUGAGAGCUCAAAGAAAGCUUUGCAUGAUCAAAAGACUCUGAAAAGGGAGUUCAAGGAUGGUGAUUUGGUGUUGCUGUUCAACUCUAGACUUAAGUUGUUUCCACGAAAACUUAAGUCUAUGUGGUCUGGACCUUUUAAAGUUCUUGAAGUCAGGCCAUAUGGAGCUGUUGUCUUGGAAGGAAUGAAUGGUCAAGAGUUUGUGGUAAAUGGACAAAGGAUCAAGCACUAUUUGGUUUCACAAAGGAAGGAGGAAGCUACAUCAGUUCCCCUCCUUGAUCCACCACCAGCCUGUUAAACAGGUUUCCAAAGUCAAACUUAGAGACUUUAAACAAAGUGCUCUUGGGAGACACCCCAAGCUUAUCUUUGUACAUAGUUCUUUUGAUUUCUUCUCUUUUCUUUUAUGUUUUAGAACUUUUUGAUGGGUUUUGUGAGUUGGUCUCAGGUUCUAGGUGAUUUUUGGAGGACAUAGCUCAGUGAUGAAUGGAAUGGAGCAUUUGAGAGGGCUGGGGGAAGUGUUUAAGGACUGAAAAACUUGGAGAACGCCUCAGUGCCACCUAGGUUGUGUGGUUUGGAUCAAGAAGAGCCCAGGCCGCAGCAGGACUCGCAAUUUACUCCGGCAUGGGCGUGCUACCUAGUGAAAGUGGUCUAGGCCGCAGAAAGAAGAAGAACAGGCCAAGAGUUCUAAGUCCCAAACUCUGCUACCUGGUGCUGCGGCCUAGAAACAAGAGAAGCCAACCCGCACAUCCAUUCGCAAAACACUCCGGCUUAGGCGUGCUAGCUGGGCACAAUGGAACUAGGCCGCAGGAAAAGAGGAAUGGCCGAGUUGUCUAAGUCACAAAGUCUGCGGCCUGGUCGUGCUACCUGGAAACAAAGGAAACCAAACACAAAAUAGGCAAUGAGAAUGAGAGAAUAGAGCUUGGUCCUUUGGGUAAAACCCUAAAAAACUAUAUAUGAGUCCUUAAACGAACUGGGUCAGCCCGGAACAAACGGGGUCCUGACCCGGCCUUGAUGGGUAAAGAUGAGUUUUGCCACGGUCAGAUGAUUCUGGGCGUGCUAGCUGGGAAUAUGAAGACCAAGCCGCAGCAAAAAGAGGGACGGCCAGAACGUCUAAGUAACAAACCCUGCGGCUUAGGUGUGCUACCUGGGAACAGAGGAAGCCAACCCGCACAUCCAUGAAAAAUUUACUCCAAGUUGGUCAUGCUACCUGGUGUAAGAGGUCCAAGCCGCAGCAAAAAGAAGAACGGCCAAAGUUGUUAAGUCCAGAAACCUGCAGCCUGGUCGUGCUACCUGGAAACAAAGGAACCUAACUCGCAGCCCAACUCUCAAUUUACUCCAAGUUGGUCCUGCUACCUGGUGAAAGAGGUCCAAGCCGCAGCAAAAAGAGGAAUGGCCGAGAUAUCUUAAGUCCAAAAAUGUGUGACUUAGGUGUGCUACCUGGGAACAAAGAAAACCAAGUCGCACAUAUGUUCGGAAUUUACUCCGACUUGGUCGUGCUAGCUGGUCGCAAUGGGUUCCAGGUAGCAGCAAAAAAAAAUAAUAAAACCGAGCUGAAGGAUUUCACUGCGACUUGGUCAUGCGGGGUAGGCACAGAAGAUCCCAGGUAGCACAAAAAUAUUUCCGGUUCUGCACCAAGACGGUCAUGCGGCUCGAUCCCGACGGUUCCCGGACGCACAAAAGAGAGAAAGGAGGCCGGUCAAUGAGAAAAGGACGGUCAAAGCUUUGAUUGGUCAAAAUAGAUCUAUUGACCACCAGUCCAAAGGCUUGACCCUGUCCCACACUCUCUCUUCACCACAACAAACCCGAGUUUGCAACUCUUUCUCUCAUUUCUCUCCAUUCUUUUCAUCAUAUCUCUCUCAUUUCUCCACCAAAUUUGUUGAUUCAAAGUGCUCUGAGCUCGUUUUUGAAUUGUUAACAUCAUCCUGAUUGCAUUUCGAACUCGUUGCAUCUUAAUCCCAAGGUAUUUCAUCCUGUUAAAACUCACUUUUUUCCAUGUUCUUCAAUGGUGAUUUAUGAGCUUCAAAGUGUGGAAUCGAUUUUGAUAGGUUGUUUUAGACCUUGGGAUUAGUUUUAUAAAUGCUAAGGUGCUAGAUAGUCUUGGAAAACAGAGCACUUUGUUGGUGAUUCCUUGUUCUUGAGUUUUGAAAAUUGUUGCAAGUAAUUCAUGAAAAAAUCGAUUUUUUUUUUAAAAAAAGGAGAUGAAUUGGUUUCUUGCUGAGUCUUUGCUUUGCACUCUUGUUUUUGCAUUGCUAUGAACUUAUUGGAUUGAUACUUGGCUUGAGAAACCUGUUCAUGUGGUUUUAAAAUCGAUUCUUGCAACUAAUGUUUUUCAAAAUUUUGAAGAAUUUUGUGAAGCUUGUUCUUGUACUAACAUUGUUUUUGAGAAUCUCUUGGAAGAUGACUGAAAGAACCAACUCUCUAGCCAAGAAGAAGGGCAAUGCAUCAAAGGGCGAAGGUUUGGUCUCAGGGUCUUCAUAGCCAAGAGAAAAAAGUCAAGGUGCAAAGAAUACCACAAAGCAAGGGAAGUGUGAUCCAGCGCCAAAAAGGACAAGGCCUGAAGGAAAAGCUUUGGUGGUUGCUUCUGGUUCCAAUAAGAAGGGGAAACAGUUGGCUGUGGUAUCUGAGAGUGAACAGACUGAAAGUGACUCAAGCAGCUCAGCUGGUGGUUCCCAAGGCACCAUUGAAGAGGGAUCCAAGAAGUUCAAGACAACUGAACCAGAAACACUUGAUUAUCUGGCUAAGUUUCAACAGAUAGAGAUCUAGCAAGGGAGAUUCCCUGAUUUGGACUUUCUGAAGAAGAUUGGCAUCUAUGAAGAUGUCAAGACUUUGCUUGGGAACAUGGGUGUUGAGUCUCUUUUGGAGAUGAGAGAGAUCGCUUAUGAACAAGAGUCUCAAGAAUUCUUGGCGUCCUUUGAAGCUUUCAUUUACUACCAAAGGGAUUCAAGAAUUAUUCAAGGAGAUGGGCUUGGACAUGUGGAGUUUACUGUGAAAGGGAAGGAGUAUUCAGUGUCAUUCAGAGAAUUGAAUGAGAUUUUUGGGUUUUCAUCACCUAGAAAUGAACUUCUCUCCAACCAGGUCAAUCUUAGAAAAGAUGAGAUCCAACUUCUAUGGAGAUCAAUUGCUUCUGGGAAGUACACAGCUGGAACAGCAAAGUCCUCUUGGAUAAGGAAUCCAGUUCUGAGAUAUGUACACAAGAUUCUCUCUCACAGCUUCUACUUCAAGAUUGAUGUUGGAAGAGUUCACAAAGGAGAUCUGAUGCUUCUUGGUGUAGGGCUGAGACCGCUGAUGCCAACACAUGAAGAUGGGGAACCCUAUGAAGGGUAUGAAUACCCACUUUGCCUUGCCUCUCAAUUAGCAAGGUCUUUGAUGUUCUACAAAAAGUGCAUGUGGGGUUCUACAAAGCAAGAUGCAAAGCUGGCCCAUGGAUGGGUGGUAACAAAGAUCUUGAAAGCCAUGGGGUACAGAUUCAAGGAGAACAAGGCAAUGUUUGAUCUGAUUAAUGAAGCACAUUUGUGUAAGAUUGGCUUCCUCCAAGGAAGAGUGGGUACCAAGGUAGUAUACAACUUCAAGACACUCAUCAGUGAGCCAGCCCAAGUUCUCCUGCCCAAUCCCUCCAUCACCACAAUCCAAGUUAAGAGGAACAUUCACUUCUUCUUGCUGAAGGAAGAGCUGUACAAUGUCCAAACUGAUCCACCAAUCCUCACAUACAAGCAAGCUUGCAGAGAAGAAGCCUCCAAGGGAAAGAAAGCAACCGCUGAAGAUGCUACCACAAGUGCUGCUGGUGCUCAAGAUGCUGAUCUGCCUCCACCUCAAAAACGUUUUGGUGGAAACAGAUAUCACUUUGAUGAUUACAACUGGGAGGAGCCAGGCACUUCAGGGUUCAGGGCUCAACAAAAGAUUGGUAUUCUCCAACAAUGGCGCAAGUACCAAGACAAAACCAUCCACAAGAUGGCCAAGUGCAUCAAGGAGAUGAAGAAGAGGAUCAAGAAACUUGAAAACCCUUGCAAAGGUGGGGCUCCAGCACCGGUUUCACCAAUGAACAGAGAGGAAGUUGGAGAGAGUUCCAUGAAUUGCACAGCCCUGGUCACAUAUGGAACCACUUGGGUGGAUCUUGACGACGGGUCUGAUGAGGCAAGCCAUCAUUCUUGGGAAACACCAUACGGCCACACUUCAAACGCCUCCUACUCAUUGGGGUCUGACUUCAACAGCCACUAGGUAACAGUCAAAACCUUGUAAAUAGCAUGUAGUUUUCUUUUUGUUUUGCAUUUUACUUGUUUACUUUGUUUUAACUCCUUUCUCAUGCUUUUAUAACACAAGGGACUGUGUUAUUUAAGUGUGGGGGAGGAGUUUCAUCCUUUACUAAUCAUGUUUUCUCUUUUCCUAUUUUACACUUUGAGUCUUGAGUCACAUUCUAGUUGCAUAUUCAUUUAGUCUCAUCUAAGUGCAUAUAAAAACAAAAAAAAAAAAAAAUGGAAAAAUCUUAAAAAUUUUCACAAAAAAAUGAUCAUGUAGUUGCAUUCUCAUUUUUAGGAUUGAGUCUAGAUUGCAUAUGCAUGUAGGUUGCAUUUUGCAGGGAGUAAUGAUAGGUUUUCUAGAGAGUACAUCACUUUGAGAACUUGAAUUGAAUAUGCUUGUGAAUCUUUUUAUGUGCUUGCAAAGUCUGAAACGAUUUGAAUCUGAGAAGCAAGUUUGAAUUGAACUCAACUCUAAUAAGUGAAAACCCUGAACUUGACUUGAAACUAUCAUUUUGUGCAUUGUUUGAAUAAGCUUGUGGAUACCAAUAUACAUAUUUGAGCUAGAAUCCUGUUUUUACCAUCCUCUUCCUUAUCUCAAAUAGCUCAAUCUGCAUAAUAGAUCGGUUUUCCUCACCCUGAACCCAUCCUUCUUUCAAGCCAAUUGUUUGUGUGUGAUUGAGAGGCCACCUUGGACCAAACUUGGCAGAAAGUGUUAGGUUUAGGGCGACAAGGGCAAGUCUCAUUGAGUGCUAAGUUCCAUCAUCAAGGAGCUGAGAGAUUUGGCAAGAACUAAGUGUGGGGGAAUACAUGUUGGUGAGUGGAAAAAGGAGAGAUGAGUGGAAAUAAAAGGAGAAUGGUGAGAACAAGGGGAUAGAAAAAGAAAUCAGUCUUGGAGUUUUGAGUCAAAAGAAGUGAGCUCUAGUGUUUUGAAAAGAAAGAGUCUAGCCUCUAAGUGAAAAGAAAAGAAGCCAAAGAGCUCAAAUGUUUUAAAAAGAAAGAAAAAAAAGAGGUUAGAGGUUACAAAAGAAAGUGAUAAAGAGCUAUGGAAAGUUUGAACUCCAAGACUUGUGUAUGAAAAAGAAAAGAGAGUCCCCUAGUGAGAGAAGAAUGAGUGUGAAAAGUAAGCAAGUGAGGAAACUUUGAGUAGAAUGUGGGGUGGGAUGAGUCUUUGCCCUAGGUUGCCUUUUACCUUUAGCAUUCUGCCAAAGUUUUGUCAUUCAUAGAGAGAUCCUUUUGCUGCAUUGAACCCACUAAAGGAAUUGAUGAGAUCAUUUUAGUCUCAUAACCUCACCCUAGCCAAACUAUGUUUGUUUAAGCAAUACAUCAUUUGAUCCACUUGGUAAAAAGCUUAAUGAAUGUGAAAGAGUUGAGAGAGAGAAGAACUUGUGGAGAUUCCUUGUUGAGUUGAUAUAUAUCUGAGUAUGGCUUUGCAUUGCAUAAUUGAGCAUGAACUUGAAUUCUCAUUGUGAUCACUUCUCUCAAAAAGGAAAUGUGAACUCCCAUGCAUUCAACCUCUUUCUCUCAUUUGUUCUUGUUUGCUUGAGGACAAGCAAAGGACAAGUGUGGGGGAGUUGAUAUGUUCAUAAUUUGCAUCAUUUAGGUUGCAUAAUUCAUUCUAAAUCAUGUUUUAUUCCAUGCAUUUUAGGUCCUUAGGGUUUGUUUUAGAACUUAGGAGAUGCAUUAGGUCCCAAUGAGUCUUUGCAUGUUUUGAGUGUUUAUCAGGUGUAUUUGGAGCUGAAAAGAUGAAUCCAGGAGGUGGAAUUGUGAUCAAAGCUUGAAAAGUGGCAAAAUUGGGUCUUUGGAGGUUAUCGGCCAUUCUCGCUGACCAGGAAGGUUUUCUCGGCCAUUUUCGCGUACCAGGAAGGAUUUUAUCGGCCAUUUUCACGUACCGCGGGUAGACUUUAUGGGCCAAAACGCGUACCGGCUAUUGAAUCUCUCGGCCAAAUUCUCCGGGUGCAGACAGGUUUCCGAAAUCGCCUGUCCGGGGAACCUUCCGGUCCGAUUCAGAUGUCGGGUGCUUCAUAGAGGUUGAAGAGGAUUGGAUCACGGUUUCAUAUAAAGUGGAAUCAUGGAAUUCGGACACGUGAGCAGAGAGUUAAGCGCGUCGGAAGAAACCCCUGUCUCGCUGCUGUUUUGGACCAAGCCGAGGAGCUCUGAAGAAUGCGAAGGACGGUGUACUUCCAGGCCGAUUCAGUUUCCGGGGCCUUCAUAAGAAUCAGAGACAUUUGAGUCGUCUUUCCAGAACGUCCAACAUCAUUCAAUUCGGAGCUAUGAGCAGAACGUCCAACAUCAUUCAAUUCUCAGCAACCUGAUCAUCUUUUAAGGCUGCCUCCCCCUCAGUUUGAUCAUUGUCCUCAAUGAUCACAUUGUUGUUCUCAAUACCAGGUAACUCCUUUCCACUCCUCAUUGUAAUGGCCUUAGCAUAUUCCUUGGGGUUGGGUUCUGGUUUUCCAGGUAGGUGACCUUGGUUCCUUGAGCUUGAGGCUUGGUUCUGCUUUAGUUCCUUGAUUUCCUGCUGCAUGGCUGUAUUCUGGCUUGCAAAGAUCUGUUGACCCUGAAGUAAUUUUGGCAGAAUACCAACCAUAUCUGUCCCCAUCUGUUGCUUCUGCUGAACCAUUGGUGGCUGAAAUUGUUGUUGAACCGGCGCCUGCUGUUGGAACUGUGGAGGACCAAACCCCAGUGGUGCCUUUUGCUGCUGUGAGUUGAAACCAGUACCCUGAAAUGGUUGCUGUUACUGACCAAAACCCUGAUUCUGAGUAAACUGAUUCUUGGGUUGGAAAGACCCUUGAAAGUUGUUCUUGGGAGCAAAGUUCUGUGGAGCUUGAGAAUUGGGAUAGACCUGGUCUUGUGGGUUAGCUACAUUGGUGUUCCUGUAGGAAAGAUUUGGAUUGGCAUUACCAUACUGAUAUCGCUGGAACCUCUGAUUCCCAAUGUAGUUAAGCUCUUCCUCACUAAACCCAUGGUGUGGGCAUUGGGUUAGCUACAUUGGUGUUCCUCAUACACCAACAAAAUGCAUUGGCUUCUGAGUGGUGAAUUUCAGCUUGUCCAAUUCACUUCUCAACUCCUUAACUUCUCUAGUGAGCCUCUGUUCUGAGCUUGAACCUUCAGAUCUAUUUGAUCUGUCAUAGUCUUCACCAUAAGUAUCAUUGCUCAAUGCUAAGUUCUCCACUAGCUCUAAAGCAGCAUGUAUCUCCUUUUCCAGAAAGUUCCUAUUGGAGGCAGUAUCCAGCUGGUUUCUAAUCUUGGGAAGAGCUCCUCUAUAUAGUGUGCUGAGAAGGGAAGCCUCACUAAACCCAUGGUGUGGGAAUUGGUUUGUGUAGCGCCUGAAUCUCUCAUAUGCUUCACCAAAACUCUCUUUGCUGUGCUGAGUGAAGCUAGAGAUUUGGUUCCUCAGUUUUGCAGUUCUUGAGGUGGAGAAGAACUUAGAUAGGAAAGCUUGCUUGCAUUGCUCCCAGGUUUGAAUGGAGCCUCUUGGAAAAUUCUUUUCCCAUUGGUGAGCUUUGUCACCAAGACUGAAUGGGAAUAGUCUUAGCUUGAAGCUGUCCUCUGAAACUCCAUUAAUCUUAAUCAGGUCACACACCUUAUCAAAUUGAUCCAAGUGUUCCAAGGGAUCUUCCAUUGCUAAUCCAUGGAACUUUGAGUUCUGGACCAUAUUCAACAAGGAUGCCUUCACUUCAAAGUUGUUAUUUUGCACAGGUGGUGCCUGAAUUCCAGCUCCAUACUGAUGAGCAUUGGCCCUGUCAUUCUCUCCAACAUAGACUUGGGGUUGCUCAUAUCUCCUUUGCUGGUGUUGGAAGGGCUGAUGUUGGUGGUGUACCUGUUGUCUUUGCUGUACAUUGGCCUGAUGCCUCUAUUGAUGAGCUUGAGCUUGUCCCUGGUGGACAUAAGCUUGUUGGUGAUGCACCUGUUCCUGAUGAACAUUACCCUGAUUUAACCCUUGACCAACUCCAUUACCAGCUCCAUUACCCUGAGCCUGUUGCUCCUGAACCGGUUGUUCUAUAUCCACCACGUGCUCUCUUUGUUCUUCCAUAUCAGCCUGAUCAAUCUGUCUUCCACGUCUGUCCCUUCUCCUCCUUGGUACCAAAAGAUUGAUGUUGUCGUUGAGAGGGAAAGGUGGACCACAGCUUCUUGAUCUAGACCUGGUGUUCAUACACCUGAAAUCACAAACAGAACUUGAAAGUAAUCAGUAAAAACAAGAAAGUAAGCACUUGAUCUCAAGAACAGAUCAGAGCUUAAUGCUAACAAACCACAAUUUGGCAACGACGCCAAUUGAUAACUAAGAGUUUUCAAGGCUCUUUGUAGAGGUUAUCAAUCCCCUUUCUUGUAGUACAAGGGGUUUAUCAAUCCAAGAAUGUGGUGAUAGACAGUAAGCUAUGUAAUCAGGUUCUUAAUUCAAGCAAACAAGAGUGGUUUGGUUAACUAGAGACAACUACAAACUUAAACAGGAUUAAAAACUAAUGAAAUGAUUAAACAAAGAACUAAAAAAAUGACAAGUGAUGAGAAUGUAUGUAUGAUGAUGAGAAAGGUCUUAGACAUGAUAGAGGAUUAGGGUGGCUUCAGUGAUAAACUAAUGAGCUAAUGAAUCACAUGAUCAAGCAAACCAUUCAACAUAAACAUCUUUAAUUAAGUUAAUCCUCUCAUGAAGGUAUUAACUCCUAUGCUAAAACAGUUUCUAACCCAAUCAUCAUCAGUGAAACAUGAGUUAACAAGCAUUAAGAAUCAGUUUAAUCUGUCAUUAACGCAUAUAGACAAUCAUUCCCAUGAUGAAUAACACUUAAACCUCUAACAACCUUGGUUCAGGCAUUUCAUCAAACACUUUUGGUGCAUGAAAUGCCCAGAAUCUAGACCACAUAUGAUUUUUAUGGAUCUAGCAUAGAGAACAGCUUGUAGAAAAUGGAAUAUGCAUGAUCUAACCCCUAAGCUCACUAAUCUACCACUUAAGCAUCCUAAUCUACAUAUCUAAAACCUUAAUAUGAGAUUACUCACUAAUCAUGAUCAACACACUAGAUCCUUUGCAAGAUGUGUUGUUAAUCAUGAUUAGAAGUGUGAUUUGAUGAUAAGAAAUGAUAGAACAAGAUAAAAAGAGUCUUCAAAUCGAUAUUAAGCUCAAAAGCAAAGUGUAAUAAGUGGUCUUUCACAAAAAGGGAAAAGAGACUAGAAAUGGAUAAAAAGGUCCUCUCCAAAUUAGGUCUAAAAUGUAUUUAUAGAUGCCUUGGACGAACCGGGUCAACCAGGAACGAACCGGGUACUGACCCGGCCUUGGUGGGUAAAGAAGGGGUUUGCCACGGUCUAGCAAGUUCUGGUCAGCCUGUGGCAAGUGGCCGUGGCAAAGUCUUGUAUCUUCGUGUUCUUGGAUGAAUCUUGGUGUCACGGUCUAGCAAGUCUGAAUCUAUACCCAUGGCAAGUGGUCGUGUCAAACGCCGAAUGUAUGUAAAAGGUUGCCACGGUCAAUUCCUAGACUGUGGCACUCAGACCGUGUCAAUCGCCGAAGGUGUGUAAAAGUUGCCACGGUCAAGUCCUAGACCGUGGCAUUCAAACCGUGUCAAGUGCCAAAAGUUUGUGAAAAGUUGCCACGGUCAAGUCCUAGACCAUGGCAUUCAAACCGUGUCAAGUGCCGAAUGCUUGUAAAGUCCUCCCAAGCCAAAUGUUUCUUUCCCACGGUCAAGUCCUAGACCGUGGCAUUCAAACCGUGUCAAGUGCCGAAUGCUUGUAAAGUCCUCCCCAGCCAAAUGUUUCUUUGCCACGGUCAAGUGUAGACCCUGGCAUGAAGAUCGUGUCAAUCGCCGAAGGAUUGCAAAUAGGUGCCACGGCCAAGUGUGCACCGUGGCAUUCCAUCGCGGCAUGUUUCACUUAGCUCGCAUCAUUCAGGGCUGUUUGGACCACUUCGCAUUCCGGAGAGUGUAACUUCUGAGAUACUUGUCCGAAUUGUGUGCUUCUGGUUUCAAAGGCCAUAGGACUCAUAUAUCUCCAACUUUAGUGAAGAAAGCUUCGGUGCUUGGGAAGUGGAAGGCCUCCUGGAGGGCUCAUCUUCGCAAUGCAUUUACACGAUCAGAGAAGGGCGUCUAGACAUGUGUCCAUUCCGGAGACCGUAUCUUCCUGCUCAUAGCUCCGAAUUGAAUGAUCUUGGACGUUCUGGAAAUAGGACUCAAAUGUCUCUGAUUCCCAUGAAGGCCCCGAAAACUGAAUCGGCCUGGAAGUGCACCGUCCUUCGCGUUCUUCGGAGCUCAUCGGCUUGAUCCAAAACGGCAGCGAGACAGGAGUUUCUUCCGACGAGCUUAACUUUCUGCUCACGCGUCCGAAUUGAAUGAUUCCACUUGCUCUGGAACCGUGAUCCAAUCCUCUCCAACUUUGAUGAAGCACCCGACAGCUGAACGGACCGGAAGGUUCCCCGGACAGGCGAUUUCGAAAACGUUUCUGCACCCGGAGAUUUUGGCCGAGAAAUCCAUUAGCCGGUAUGUGUUUUGGCCGAUAAAAACCUUCCUGGUGCGCGAGAAUGGCCGAUAACCUCCAAAAACCCCAUUUCACCAUUUUUCAAGCCUUGAUCACCAUUCCACUUCCUGGAUUCAUCUUUCCAGCUCCAAAUAGUUCCAAAUGCACCUGAUAAACACUCAAAACAUGCAAAGACUCAUUGGGACCUAAUGCAUCUCCUAAGUUCUAAAACAAACCCUAAGGACCUAAAAUGCAUGGAAUAAAAUAUGAUUUGGAAUGAAUUAUGCAACCUACAUGAUGCAAAUUAUGAACAUAUCACAUACCUUCUUCAGACCUGUGCACCUGAUGAAGACAAGUGGAGAUUCCCCUACACGUCGUUCACACAUUCGCGAGUACCAGGUAUGGAGAUACCUCAAAACAUUCAGAGUGGUGAUUGCGGAGUCUACUGCCUGAAGUACAUCGAGUGUCAUGCUUUGGAUUUGUCAUUUCCUCCGCAACUUUGUGAUAAAAACAUUCGACAAAUCAGAGAGAAAAUGGCUGCAGAGAUCUUUGACGAAAUAGGUGCUAGGGGCCAUGACAAGCUAGAUGCAACCAGGCUGAAUUUCUAUGAUAGGAAAGCUUAGGGUAUCCAUAUUUAAAACUAACUUUGAUUUUUAUGGCAACUUUUUGGCUACUUGCAUAAAUGACAUUCAAUGUGAUUGCAGGUCAUUUUAGCAAUUGGUAGAUGAUAGGUGUGGAAGUUGUUUGGCCCCCAAUCGUAUAAUUAAAAUGCCAACUAUGCUGUAUUUUCGUUUAGGAUAUUGUAAUUAAACUGAAGUCUACGACUGAAGUCUACUAAGUUGUAAUUGUAUUUGUACUGAAGUCUACUAAGCAAUUAACAUGUUUGUAUUUAUAAGUUUCGAUUUUCACCCUAAACACUGAAUCGUGUGAAAUAUUAUUGAAAAUGCACUCCUGAUAAUGUCUACGGAAAAAGUUUAGUAGAACUCAUAAAUAUGUUGCUUACAAUAAAUAUAAGUCUACAAACGAAGUCUACUACAGAAGUCUACUAAUAUCAGUUAAACAUAUAAGUAAACACAAAAACAUAAAACAUUGCGUCAACAAAUUUCAACGCGGCCAUUCAUUUGCAAAUCCAGGAAUUGUUUUCCAGAAUAUGGCACAUUCCAACUUCCAGAAGCAAGAACUGCAGAGUUUGUCACCAUAUGAGUCGACAACGCUUUCAUCAUCCAUCCAGUGCUGGUUUGGCAGAUUCAUACAAGCACAACUCCUUGAUUGUGCCUUAGCAAAAACAUGGAAGACCGGUUCGUGAAACUCGCAGGCUUCUUAUAAAUGGUCGGACACUUAUUGAUGUGCUGCUUAGUCUUCCUCAUCUUCGUUGCCUCUGCCGAAAGUAGACCAUGAAUGUGGUUAAAUACAUCAUGGCUGCCAUCCAUGGUUAAAGAGAACAUAACCAUAGAGUAAGUAGCCAUGAGGCAUCCUCCAUUUGAUGACACCUUUAUUAAAUCAAACCCUGCUUGGAUGUUGUCUUCAUAGAAGAUUAGAGAAACGCCUCGUAGGUAUUGCGCUGUAUGAUUUCUACACUCCAAACAGCACCGAAAGAAUGCGUCAACCCUCCCAUGUUGAUCCCAGACCCAUGGAAUGGUCAAAUUUAUUAGAUCAACGGAUCUUAAAAAACCCUCUUCAGUAGAAAUCUCAUUUAGAUGUUUGGAGAAAACCCUUGCUUUACAGAGCGCAGGGAGGGAGGGAGAGAGUUGAAGUUUAUCAGGUUCGACAUCUUCUAAGGAUCUGGGAUGAAACUAUAAUUCGUCUAAACCCGAGAAUUUAUAAGCAGGAAUACCGUAGACAAACAGGAACAACGGUUAUACGCACCGUUAAAGUCGUUAAAGCAUUUACUUAAAUGAAGUUGUUUCAAACCCUAACAGUAAACAAAAUAUCACAUAUAUGGUAGACUUUGACAGUAGACUUCCAUAGUAGACUUCUAGACAACAAUAGCAGCUGUGUCCUCCUAUUCCGGAGCCUUCUUGAUAUUGUCCUGGUGAAUCUUCGACGUCUAAGUGAGAGACAUAAAGUUUAGUAAAUAAAACUGUUAAUAUUGUAUAGGACAUUAUUAGAUUAGUUUAGCUCAACUUACACAAUUCGGUAGGGUAUGACCAGGUUGCUUGCAUUGUGAGCAGCUGUAUAGUUUGUGCAGCUUCCUUGGCUUCUUGCUUUUCCUCCUAGCAAUUUCUAGCCAUGAUUGCCACCGAGACUUCUUCCGUCUGCCUGAUUUGCGGCGAAUGUCUGGUGGCAGACAUAUUGGUAGUUGGACUCCUUGGACCUCUGAAAUUUGGGGAUAUAUGUUGGCAGAGUAUGCAGCAAACAAGUAGUUGUUUGAGUAAGUCGGACAUACAAGGGAAUCCACAGCUAUACCACCGGCAAAUGCAGCUGCAAUAGCAUGUGAGCAUGGGAUCUUCUCGAUAUAAAACACACCACAUUCACACAUUCCAUGUUCCAAAUCAACAAUACAAUUUCUGGUUCCUCCUUUCACAUAGUAUCUCCAAGUGUCAAUUCGGUCCACCUCCAUUGCAUCUGCAUAAUGUUCACGAAUCGCCAGCAAAUACUCCACUCCCCGAGUAUUAUGUGUUGUGAGACUCAAAGCAUCUUCUCUGCGUUUUAAAAACCACCGACCGAGCUUCUCUCGUAUGAAAUCCAAGAGGAAUGAAAUGGGAUAAACACGGGCCUUCUUAAGUGCAGCAUUUAUAGACUCUGCGACAUUGCUAGUUUUAAUAUUGUAUCUGUCUCCAACAAAAUGAACUCGGGACCAAAGGGAAACAUCGGCUUCUUCCAAAUAGUCAGCAAGGUCAGGCUUGAUCUGUCUCAGCUCCGCCAUGUACCGGUUGUAGUCAUAGAGGUUGUAAGCAUAAGCCACACGUUUUACCAAGUACAACAACUGCUUCCCCCUAAACUUUGUUACUAUGUUAUGUUGUAGAUGGUAGAAGUGUAUCCCUCGUUUUGCCCAUGGGAAAACAGUUUGGCAAGCUUUCUUAAUAGAAAGAUGUCUGUCAGAAACUAUCACCAAAAGGAUAACCAUCUGAGACACAUUCACGCAGUUUAGAAAAAAACCAUUCCCAUGAAGCAUCAUCUUCACCAUCACCAAUUCCAAAGGCCAAAGGAAAAAUCUGAAAGUUUUCAUCUUGUGCGGUGGCAACCAACAAAGUACCUUCGUAAUUCCCUGUUAGAUGACAUCCAUCAACCACAAUAACUCUUCUCAUGUACUGAAAACCGCCAAUCGAUGCUCCAAAUGCGAGAAAUAGAUAGUUGAAUUUGUUAUUCGAAUCUACAUGAAGAGCUGAUACAGUUCCCGGAUUGGCUUUGUUCACUGAAUGUAGGUAAGCUGGGAGACUCGCAUAUCCAUCUUCAGUUGUUCCCCUGACCAAUUGUUGGGCAUAUAUCAAAGAUCUGUAUGAAGUAGUGUAAUCCAUCUUGAUGCCAAACAUAUGUUUCAUUGAAACCCUGACAUGUUCUGGUAUAAGUCCAUCAAUGAUGCCCAAAUGGCUUAUAAACAGCUUGCCAAUAUACUUAGGAGUAGACUUCCCAUGCUGAGCCAUUCGAUGGGUUAUUGAACAUGUGUGGUCUUUCACAUAUUUUGUCACCCAAAAAGUGGAUGCAUCAUUCUUCACGCUUGCUCUAACCAUCCAAGCACAUCCUUCCACUCGACAUUUAGCCACAAACUGGGUCUUGGUAGACUUCUCUGUUUUAAAAGCAAAUUUUAACAUUAUCGCAGUCAAUCUAACCUCUUAUAACAGCUUCUCCUUUGUAGGGAAACUUGCCCUAAGAUAUAUAUUAUCAGACCAUGACAUGGGCGUGCUUCCUGUUUCACCAUAUCUGUUUCUGACAUUUUCAAUACAGACUUCAUCUUCAUCAUCAUCUUCAUCUUUCACUUUACCGUAGACACUGUAAUCUUCUCCGUCAGAGUAAGCUGCAUCGUCGACAUCUUCUUCAUCCUCGUUUACAUCAGAACUGUCUGCCUCAUCAUCGGUAGAAUGUUCUGAAUUUUCCUCAGACUCCUCACCUAAAUUUUCAUCUGAUCCUUCCUGGUUCUCCUCAGUAUCCAUCUCCACUCGACUGGACACACAAAGACGUACCAUAUGCACUCUGCUUAACGCAAUCAAGCUUGAAACUUGUCUAUCAUUGGUGACAUGCAUUGGAGGUGUAUCUGGAGCCAUAGUUUGCAACAUUGAGACUGGUAGUGAGUAGGUUAACUUGAUGAGCUCAGUCUUCUUGCCCAAGUUAUAAUCAUCUCGCGCCAUCUCAGUAAGCUACCCCAAGGUGCAACCAUCGUUCAAAAACCACAUUCUUCCACCUUUGCCCAUGUCAACAACAAAAUGGCAUGAAUUCUCCUCAAUCUUCCACUCCCCAUACACAGCUGGAAUUUGAGCCAUUCUCUGAAAAAAUAACCAUAUAAACUAUAUUAGCAAACACUGCAUACAGACUUUUUGUAUCAAGAGUAGACUUCUCCCGAAAAGAACAUUAGUAGACUACACGACGAAGUCUACUUUGAUAAGCUAAGUAGCUUAAAAAUCGAAACUUCUGAUUCAACAAUAAAUAUCGAAUGAAAUGAAAUGAAAUUCACUGGGUAGUUCAAUCAGUUACGAAGAAGCAAUUCUAAUCCAAAAAUUUUGAAAAAUACUUUAUAAAUUUGCCUAAAACGCGUUUUAAAAAAAACGCCAAAAGUAGACUUCUACAGCAGACUUCAAAUGUAGACUGGAGGAGAAGUCUACUUUUUCAUAGAGAAGUCUACUAAUGAAGUCUACUAAAAAAACAGGUCAUUUUUGCAAUUGACCAAUCUGUUGACUUUCUUUCAGUAGACUUCAAAAGUAGACUUCCGUCCAAAAAUGUUACUUUAGCAUUUGACUGAUGCAUUGACUAACAAAGUAGACUUCUAUUGUAGACUUCAUGUAAGAGUAGACUAAUCUAACAAUCUACUUUUGAAGUCUACGGAAAAAAAUAGGUUAUUUUUGCAAUUGAAUUUUUUUAGUAGACUUCAUUGUGAAGUCUACUCAAAAAAUGAUUCCUUCUAAGUUUGACCGAAAAAUAUAAGUAGACUUCACAAAGAAGUCUACAAACUGUAGACUUCUUUGGGAAGUCUACUGAAGUUUUUCGGAAUUUUUUUAAUUUUUUAAUUUUUAAAAAACAGUAGUCAAACACUAAAAUGACCUAUACGUUUUUGGUCAAACUACAAAACUAACUUUAAGGUAGACUUCUGAUGCAGACGUAAACAGUAGACUUCAUACGGAAGUCUAAAUUCAAAUGUCAAAAUACGGUCAACUAUAAAAAUAACCUCUUUUCUUUAGUCGACUUCUUGAGCCUUCAAACGAAGUAUGCUAAGCUUUUUUUUUGUUUUCAAAGGAUGUCGAGUAGACUUCUCGUGAAGUUUAACGAAGUCUACUUUUAAGAAGUCAAUUGCAAAAAUAACCUUAUGUUGACUAGUAGACUUCAGUAUACUUCACGAGAAGUAUACUUUCGCGAUAUAAAAACUGAAAUGUGGAGAAAUUGAAGUGCGAGGAUUACCUUUAACAAAAUUGAGCUCGCCUAAGUUUUUCUUAAGCACCCAGAACUCAGGAUUUCACCGAAAAUAAACAACCCAGGUGUCGAGUAACCAGAAAUCACUGAAAAUGCAUAGCCCAGAUGUUUUGGAGAAGAAAUUAUGAAAGAAUGAGCAAGGUUAUGAAUGAAUGAGCUCGGAUAUUUACUUAUUACAGCUUUAAAAUUGGUUGAGAAGCAUUUAUUCCCAUUUCGUGGUUGUUCAUGGUGGUUGAAGGAAUUGAAGAAGAUGGCAUUUUUGUAAAUAAAUGGUCUUUAAGAGGACCAAUGAGACUUUACCCAAAUUAAAGAAAAAUUGAAAUAAUAGAUGUAUAAUGGCAUUUUCGUUAAUAGUUUAGGUGGGGAGGAUAAAAUUGUGAGAAAAUGGAUACUUGACCGGUGAAAGUUUUUGUUUUUGAUCAUCUGUGAAUGUUUCAUUUCUAACUAUUUUUUAUAUUAAAACAAAAAAAAACUAUCUAAAAUAUUCUAAUUACAUUGACAAAAGAAAAUUUAAUUAGUCAUAUAUAUAUAUAUAUAUAGUAUAAACGAAGUAAAAUUUUACUUCUAAGCUCUCUCAUUCAAUUUUAGGAUAACUAAUUACUGUGUGAGCCAAAACUCGCACAACCAGAAAUUUGUUUUAAGAAAACUAAGGGAUCGAAAACUUCUAGGGUUUAUCGUCAAGAACAGAAAGAUCGAAAGAAAGUUUUUCUUGCUGUAAAAGUGUUUAGCUCUUAUUGCUUAGGGUUGCAAAAGGUUACAGAAUGAAUUGUAUACAUCAUCUAUUUAUACUAAUUCUCUGAACCGCCUAGCCGAGAAUCUCGGGAGAGAUUUUCGGAAUAUUUCCUUAUCGCCUCGUGCGGCUCACCGCCUUUGUAUUUUGCCUAGGGUUUUAUGGGCUUCGUCUCUCAAGGCCUUGGUUCGGCCCAUUUGAACUUCUCCACGGCUCGGCCCAUCUAAACUUCUCCACGGCUCGGCCCAUCUAAACUUCUCCAUGGCUCGGCACACUUGCCAUUUGAGUCGAGACGUGAUCUGGUCCACCUCACCGAGGCGCGGCUCGGCCCAGGCAUGUUAGAGAGGGGCUCGGCCCAUUUCUUGCGAUACGGCUCGGCCCAUCUCUCUUUCCUCACGGUGCUCCCUACUGGUCUAUCUUCACGGCUCUCCCACUAGGUGAGAACGGCUCUCCCACUUGUCUUGGUGAGAACGGCUCUCCCACUUGUCUUAGUGAGAACGGCUCUCCCACUUGUCUUUCUUCCAUACUAAGUCAUUUUGAGAUGGUUUUAUCUGCGUGGGGUGAAAACCGACCCCAACAGUUAGCUCGUCAGUUUUGGAGGCGAGAGUGACGAGGUCCAUUACUCCUGACCGUAGGAUAAACCAUCGAGUCAAGCUGUUAUGACGUAAGGCCAGAUAAGGUAUUUUGGGAAUGAAGAUGCCGAGGCGUUUCCAAGGAGUGCCGAGGGUGCCGAGGUGUUUCGAAAGGGUACCAAAGAUGCCGAGGCAAGUUUAAGGACGAGGCGAUUUUGUUUGGUAAUGAUGAACGGAGGCGAUUUGAGAAGGUUAUGCCGAGCCAAAUAAAUGGCGAGGCGUUUCGAGAGAAAGUUCAUGCCGAGCCGUUUUUGUUAACGACGAGGCGUUUUGAGAGAAAGUUUGUGCCAAGCCAUUUUUGUUAACGACGAGGCCUUUUGAGAGAAAGAGUUAAUGCCGUGCCGUUUCGUUAACGACGAGGCCUUUUGAGAGAAAGAGUUAAUGCCGUGUCGUUUCGUUAACGACGAGGCCUUUUGGCUUUGCAUGGUGUCGAGCCGUAAGGACGACGAGGCGUUUUAGCUUUUGUUAGCCAAGGAUGAUUUGGUAGUCUCGUUGAAUCUGACUAUGGACCGGCGUUUCCGAGAGGAUGACUAUGCUUGUCGGGUUUAGGAGUUUACUUCGGUUUUAGAGAAAGCGAUGUAGUCUCGGCUUAUAUUCUCGUGUGCGAUAGUAAACCGUGGCGACCUGAUACAUUUUUGGUCUGAUAUUUGUAUAGCGCGCUUAAUUUUUAUCCGUAGAGGAUGUAACUUGCACCCUCGUCCUAGGAAAGGUGGUAAAAGUCCGUUUAGAGAACUUUGUAGUUGUUGCCCCAUUGUGGCCAGCAACGAGACGAGGCAUUCAGUGGCUUAGUUUGCCGAACUGAAAAUGCGGAGCAAUUAAGGUCCGAGGUAACCAAGUCAUGAUUACUCGCCGAAGUGAUGAGUGAAAGAAUUUAAAAAUCAGAGCUUGUUAAAAUAAGUUGCUGAUUUAGAAAGAAUGAGAAACUAGCCGAAGUGAUAAUGAACAAACUGGAAAUCCAAGGUAAACGUGAAAUAAGUAGAUGAUUCAAAACGAGCUGAGAAUGUGCCGAAGUGGCGAUGUUCCUAAGUGAGCGAGCUAAAAAAGCGUUUUCUGUAGAGUUAAAGGAGGUAUGUAUACGUACCCACUCCCCCCCCCCUUUUUAGGAGGGGGACAGCUGAACCCGUCCGAGGACGGGCUGCCUACGUACCCUUCGCAGGGAUCAAGCCGUGCCGUAGUUCAUGUUGGUCGUGCUGUAUCCUUAGUGAUAGUAUUUCUUCAGAUGCAUUGCGUUCCAUGAUCUUGGAAUCGCCUCGUCGGCUAGUGUCGCGAGUUCGUAGACUCCUGGAUGAACCACUUUUGUGACCUUGUAAGGACCUUUCCAAUUUGCUCCGAGCUUUCCUGCGUUUUUCUCGGCAGUGUUUUGGAAGACCUUUCGGAGGACGAGCUCCCCUGCUUUGAAUCUUCGGCUACGAACGUUUUUGUUGUAGUAUCGCGCCGUUGCUUGUUGAUAGUUCUGGAUUCGAAUUAAGGCUUGGUCGCGCUUUUCGUUGAUUAGGUCGAGCUCAUCUAGCAUCAUUAAGUGGUUCAAGCUCUCCUGUCCUGGUAGAAGUCCUCGUCGAAUACCUGGGAAUUACACACUCUGAUCCAUAGACCAAAGCGAAUGGAGUUUCCCCGGUGGCUCGGUGCGGAGUUGUCCGAUGAGACCAAAGGACUCCUUCGAGUUCGUCUGCCCACCGUCCCUUCUUGGCGUCGAGCCUCUUUUUCAGACCGUCGAGGAUCGUCUUGUUGGCUGCUUCGGCUUGUCCGUUCCCUUGAGGGUAUCUUGGCGUAGAUUUGCUGAGGCGGAUUUUCCACUUCUCGCAGAAGGCUUCGAAGCGUGUUGAGAUGAACUGGGAUCCGUUGUCGGUGACUAUCUCGUAGGGGACCCCGUGUCGGCAGAUGAUAUUUUUCCAGACGAAAUGUUCGACUUGAACAUCCUUUAUGCUUGCGUAGGAAUCGGCUUCGACCCACUUGGAAAAGUAAUCCGUGAGGACAAGCAGGAAACGCUUCUGCUUCGAGCGAUGUAGAGGUCUGACGAUGUCCAUCGACCAUCUCAUGAACGGAUAAGGUGAUGAAAUUGACGAGAGCAACUCGGUGGGUUGAUGAAUUGUUGGAGCGUGCCGCUGACACUUCUCGCACUUCGCUGUAAAUUUCUCGCAGUCCUCGAGCCAUUCUUUGUCGCAGCCGUACUCCGGCUCGGCUGGUGAGGCGUCUUCAUCCAUAGGAAUGGCUUCGUCGUCCUCUGGUUCUUGUUCAGGAGGAUUUAUCAGCCAAACUCCUUCCACCUCUUCGAUGCUAGGACGUUCGAUGAAAUCGACUGGGAUCGUUCGUCGGAGGUCUGGGUCCGAGGUCGAAGCGAGUGCUGCCAAGGCGUCGGCCGAGGUGUUUUCUCCUCGGGGAAUGCGAGUGAGUUCGAACUCAUCGAAUUUUGGCACCAACUCUCGGACCACUUUGAGGUAAGCUCCCAUUCGUCCAUCCUUUUCCUCGUAUUCUCCGUUGAACUGACAUGCUACGAGCUGUGAAUCGCAAAAGGUUCUUAUCUUUCAAACUCCGAUUCCCUGCGCUAGUCGUAUGUCGGCGAUCAGUGCUUCGUAUUCCGCUUCGUUGUUCGAGGCGUGGAAGUUCAGGCGAAAAGACUGCUCCAAUAUUUCUCCGGUGGGAGAGGUGAGGCGGAUUCCUAUUCCCGAACCGUGUUUAGUCAACGAGCCGUCGACGUGCAGCGUCCACACUUUGUCUAGAGUCGGCUCGUUUGUUGCUUCGGCGGGAAGUUCAAUGAGGAAAUCUGCGAGCACCUGUGACUUUGCAGACGACCUGUUCCGAUACUCGAUGUCGUAUUCGCUUAGCUCUAUGGCCCACUUGGCGAGCCGACCGGAUUGGCUAGGGCUGUGUAGGAUCGAGCGCAGCGGAAGCAUAGCGAGCACAACAAUCGAAUGUGAUUGAAUGUACGGGCGCAGUUUCCGAGCCGAGACUACGACGGCUAGGGCGACCUUCUCGAUCUGGGGGUAGCGAGUCUCGGCGUUGGUCAAUGUCUGGCUGAUGUAGAAAAUGGGUUUUUGCUCGGAUCGUUCUUCUCUAAUAAGCACUCCGCUUACCGCUGUGGCAGACACUGCGAUGUAGAGGAAGAGCGGCUCUCCUUCGACUGGUUUUGCUAAGAUUGGUGGGCUCGCCAGAUAAUUCUACAAUUCCUGGAAAACCGUCUCACAUAGUUUGUCCCACUCAAAUUUCUUGUUUCCUCGGAGGGUGUCGUAGAAGCGCAGGCAUUUGUCUGUGGAACGGGAAAUAAACCUGUUUAGCGCGGCGACUCUUCCUGUGAGCCUCUGCACUUCGUGCUUCGUCCUUGGAGAGGGCAUCUCGAUUAAAGCCUUGAUCUGCUUUUGGUUUGCUUCUAUGCCUCGGUGAGUUACCAGAUAGCCAAGGAAUUCUCCCGAGGUGACCGCGAACCUGCACUUCGCCGGGUUUAGUUUCAUGUUGUGCUUGUUCAAUUGUUCGAAGCAUUCCCGUAGAUGCGUGACGUGGUCUUCCUCCUUGAGUGAUUUGACUAACAUGUCGUCAAUGUAUACUUCCAUGGUUUUUCCGAGCUGAGCCGCGAACAUUUUAUUGACGAGCCGUUGAUACGUUGCUCCUGCGUUCUUGAGCCCGAACGGCAUGACUUUGUAGCAGUAUAUCCCGCGAUCAGUUAUGAAUGCCGUUUUUUCUCGAUCUUCCGGAUGCAUUAGGAUCUGAUUGUAGCCAGAGAACCGUCCAUAAAUGUUAACAGUCUAUUCCCUGCAGUGGCUUCGACGAGCCGGUCGAUGUGUGGCAAGGGAAAGCUGUCUUUUGGGCACGCCUUGUUGAGGUCGGUGAAAUCCACACAUACUCGCCACUUGCCGUUCUUCUUCUUCACGACCACCGGAUUUGCGAGCCAGUCCGGAUAUUUGGCCUCGGCGAUUGAUCCUACUUUGAGUAACCUUUCGACUUCGUCGUUAACUGCUUUAGCUCGUUCGGGGCCGAGCUUCCUUCUUUUCUGCUUACUGGUUUAAAGGUCGGAUCCACAUUCAGCUCGUGACAGGUCACGUCGAUGCUUAUGCCUGGCAUGUCUUCUGCUGUCUAGGCGAAAGUGUUAUUGUUUUCCUUGAGGAGGGAAAGGAGUUCGCUUCUCAGAGGCUCUUCCAGUUUUGUUCCUAUUUCGACGCAUCGCUCCGGGCGCACCUCAUCUAUACACACCGAGUCCAUUGCGUCGCAUACUGGCUCGGCACGUGUUUCGCGGCUCUCCGCGAUCUGUAAUUACUAUAAAAGUUUUGAGAGCUCGUUCGCGGGCUCUCGGUCUGUCUUCAUCUUUUUGCGGUCGAUGUCUGCUCGUGCGUCGGUGACGGGGUUCCUUAGCUUGUGCUCAGCUAGGCAGCACGUUCAUGACUCCUUCUGAUUCCCCCAGAUCGUUUUAAUACCUGCUGGGGUUGGGAAUUUGAGGCAGAGAUGAUAGGUAGAGGGUACCGCCCUCAUCCCGUUGAUCCACGGAGUUCCCAUGAUCACAUUGUAUAUUGUUGGGUGAUCGGUGACGCAGAAUCCGAUGAUCUUAGUGACUCCGCCAGCUACCACAGGAAGCCUGAUCGUUCCCAUAGUCAUCGUCGUUUCUCCCGAAAAUCCGGUUAGAGGUUUGGGGAUUGCUUCCACCUCGGAGAGGUCGAUUCCCAUUCUUCUGAGUGUUUCCCUAGAGAUGAUGUUCACUGAGCUUCCAGUAUCGAUGAGCACCCUCGCUACGUCGUGAUCCCUGAUCGUUAACUCAAUCACCAACGGAUCGUUAUGAGGUCGAUCGAUUCCUACCGUUUCCUCCUCGGCGAAGGAGAUCGUUGUGUUUGGGAUGUUGGUUGGUUCUGUCCAAUUCUCCUUCGCUUCGGCUCGGCGCUGAUAGGCUUUGAUGGAGGACACGGUAUCUUGGUAGUAUUGGGAUCCACCCAUGAUCAUAUUGAUCCUUUGCCUCGGCUCGGGUUGCUCUUCAGGUUCGCCUCUCCUGUCACGUUUGGGGUUAUCGCCUCGUCGGGGAAGAUUCGCGGGUUCCGCCGCGCCGCUCGGCUCGGCUCUCUCUUGUUGUUCGUUAGGAACAAGGUCUUUGAGGCUGACCGCGUUUUGGAGCUCUCCUGCUGCCAUUUUUGCUGCGAGCUUUGCUUCUAAAGUUCGGCAUUGAGCUGUUGAAUGCCCGUAGGUCUGGUGAUACUCACAGAAAGCCUUCUUGUCGUAGUUGACGGACUUUCUCACCCAAGUGUUGUUGUGCGGCUCUCCUCUUCCGCGUCCGGUAGUUAUGGGCGCCUCCGCUUCUAGGUUCAUCCGAGCUCUGCGUUGACGCGUUGCUCGAUGGGUUGCCCUUCUUCGCGGGGCGCGACAAAAUUGAGCUUCGGAUUGCUGCUUUUGUUGCUUCGUACUGCUCGUCCAAGUUUUUCAUUUCCUCCUCGUUAACGACGAAGUCUGAUGAUCGGUGCAAAGCGUCUUGAAUUGUUUGCGGCGUGUUGAGAGCCAUCUCCCGUCGGAACUCGGAUUUGUACCACAAAGAUCGUUUUAGAGCCUCGAGCGCAGCCCUGUCGCUUAUCCCCUCUAUUUUGGAUAUGACUGCCUUGAAUCUUGCCAUGUAAUCCCGAAGCGGUUCGUUCGGUCCUUGGGAUAGUGUCCAGAGAUCGGCAUCGGAUGUUCCUCUGUCCAUAAACAUCGAGUAUUGCUUAAGGAACAAGGCGGAGAGCUGUUGAAAAUAGCCUAUUGAAUUUCGUUCCUGCCUUGAAAACCACUCGAGUGCAGCUCCCUUGAGAUGCUCCACGAAAAGCAGGCAGUAUCCGGCGUCUACUUCGCGCUUGGUGAGUUUAGCGGCGUUCUUUGUGAAGGCUCGUCCCAUUGCUAUCCGAAACGCUGUGAUGGGUGCUUUCAGGUCGGUUGUUCCUUCGUAGAACGGGAUUCUCACCUUCCCUGGCUCUACCUGCUCGAUCCAUUGGAGGUUUUUUUCCUCCUCGUUUGGAUUGUCGCCGCGGGUCGGAUUGGAGACUUCGUCAGUUCGGAUGCCGUUUAGUGCCGAGGCGAGCUCUUCUUGACUUAUUCGGCGAGCCGAGCCGGUUUGUUGCAGAUUCGUGGUUCCGUUGUUCUGCUGGGCGUCUACGUCGAUCGCAUUGUUUUCUUCUUCGCCGGCUCGUCGCCUCGAGUUUCGGCAGAGAGGGGGCGGCUCGGUCAUGUUGACUCGGGUCGCCGCGGGGGUCUGUUCGUCGAGGAGACGAGACAUUGGAGGAGCCGAGGGGUUUCUUGCGCCGCUCCCUGAGGCUUCUGCAGGUGUCGAGAAAUCGAAGCGUCUCUGGAUUCCAUCCAUCGGGUCGGGAAUUCCGGCUCUCCAAGUUGGGUGCAGUCGCUCGGCCGCCAUCGCGUCGAGCCUCUCCGUAAUCGCCUCGUUUCUUUUAUCCUGUUCGUCGAUUUUCUUCAUCAACGCAGCCAUCAUGUUUCACAUCUCCUCUUGGGUUUCGAUCGUUGCCGUCGUUGUGCCCGAUGCCGGAGCGUCCUUCUCCGCGCCGUUACCGGUGUUGUUGUUGUUGUUGUCGUCGGGGGUGUUGCUCGCCAUGUUCUUCGGAUCUUAAAGUCUUGUCGAUUUAGAGUAAGAAAGUUUCGAUUCCCCACAGACGGCGCCAAAUUGUGUGAGCCAAAACUCGCACAACCAGAAAUUUGUUUAAAGAAAACUAAGGGAUCAGAAACUUCUAGGGUUUAUCGUCAAGAACAGAAAGAUCGAAAAAAAGUUUUUCUUGCUGUAAAAGUGUUUAGCUCUUAUUGCUUAGGGUUGGAAAAGGUUACAGAAUGAAUUGUAUACAUCAUCUAUUUAUACUAAUUCUCUGAACCGCCUAGCCGAGAAUCUCGGAGAGAUUUUUGGAAUAUUUCCUUAUCGCCUCGUGCGGCUCACCGCCUUUGUAUUUCGCCUAGGGUUUUUAUGGGCUUUGUCUCUCAAGGCCUUGGUUCGGCCCAUUUGAACUUCUCCACGGCUCGGCCCAUCUAAACUUCUCCACGGCUCGGCCCAUCUAAACUUCUCCACGGCUCGGCACACUUGCCAUUUGAGUCGAGACGUGAUCUGGUCCACUUCACCGAGGCGCGGCUCGGCCCAGGCGUGUUGGAGAGGGGCUCGGCCCAUUUCUUGCAAUACGGCUCGGCCCAUCUCUCUUUCCUCAUGGCUCGCCCUACUGGUCUAUCUUCACAGCUCUCCCACUAGGUGAGAACGGCUCUCCCACUUGUCUUGGUGAGAACGGCUCUCCCACUUGUCUUAGUGAGAACGGCUCUCCCACUUGUCUUUCUUCCAUACUUAGUCAUUUUGAGAUGGUUUUAUCUGCGUGGGAUGAAAACCGACCCCAACAAUUACUCUUUAACUCUUAUUAAAUCAUCAUAUAUAGUAUAAGCAAAGUAAAAUUUUACUUCUAAACUCUCUUAUUCAAUUUUAGAGUGGCUAAUUACUCUUUAAUCCUCAUUAAAAAUCGGUUAAUACUUUUAUUUCGGUUCAAAUUAAGUUUUUCCAAAAUAAUAAAAUAAUUGUACCGAAUUUUGUUUAUUACUUGGAGAGAACCUGUGCGUAUGCGCGGAUCUUGUUUGAAUUUAUAUUUUAAAUAAUUUGUAUUGAACUUUAAGUUUAUUAUUAAUGUAUUUUUUGUCUAAAAUAGUUAUAUAUUUUUUUCUUCUUGGUGAUAUAUUAUAUGUAAUCUCCUUUACACCAGUUGUAUUAAAUAGUUUUAUUUUUUCUUCGAUCUUUAUAUUCUUUUUAUUCUUGUAAAUCGUACUAAUAUAAUAUUUGUUCAUUUUUUUUAAUUUAAUAUUUAAUUUUUAUUUAGUUAUAUAUAUUUUAUUGAUUUCAUCUUUUUUUAUUACUUAAAAAAAACCAUAGAUGACAUUUUUAUGUGGAUAUCUUUCUUUUUACUAUUAUUUUUAAUAACUUUUAUCUUUUGAAUAGUUUAUUAAAUAUGAUUUGUGUUUUAUAAUUUUAUUAGUUGAAUUUUUAUAUAAGAUUAUUUAAAAAAAUUUAAUUUAUUUAGUCUCAUAAUUUUUUUUCACUUGCAUUAAAAUGUAAUUAUAUUUUUAGUUUAUAAAUGAAGUUUAAAACAUUUUAAAAAAAUCGAAUUGUGCAUUUAAAAAAUCUUGUAUUAUAUAAUAUUUAUAAGUUUGUAUAUAGUUAAAUUAAAUUUGAAUUUUAUUCUAAUAUAAAUAUAUAUCAAUAUUUAUUUAUGUUUUUAAUGUGUUUUAAUGUGUUUUAAUAUGUUUUAAUAUGUUUUAUUGUGUUUACUUUAAAUUUAAUUAAUUAAUUAUUUUAUUAAAUUUGAAGAUGACAGGUGGCGUUCUCUCCAGCGCGCUGAUGUGUCACUCAACUGGAGAGAGUUGGCCAAGUUUUAUAUAUAAGAUUGGGCCUUUUCAUAUUUUGUGAUUAUUGGAUUUGAUUCUUUCUAAUAUCGAUUAAAGGGUUUUGUUUAGGCACAUACAAAAAUUUUGUUCUGUUGUUUGAAAUUCGAACAAAAUUUUUAAUAUAGCUUUAUUUUUCAGGUUUUGUAACUAAGGAUAAACUAAUGUUUAUUUGUUUGAUGAUACAAACUUACACAGGAAAAAGAAGGUGAAGAGUAAACCCAUUACAGAUGUUUUUUUCUCUGAAGGAACUCCAUGCAGCCAUAAACAGUUUUAAUUACGAUUAAAAAAAAACUUGUGGAGGUCGCUUUGGUAGUGUGUAUUGGGGUCAGUUAUGGGAUGGAUCUCAACUAAUGAUCUUUUUAGAUUAUUAACUAGAACUUGCUUGAUAUGGUCGCUUUGAUUUUCAUCUAUUAUAAGUUUUUGCUGUAGAUUGUAGUAGAGUGAUUGAAAGCAUGGAGUAGCAGAGAAGAGAAUUUUUCGCUGUAAAUAGAGAGUUCAAGAGUCAAACCUGUUUCAUAAAAAAUUAUACUUCAAUACCCUACUGAGACGAUAUAAUACAACUGUCAUAUGAAGCUCAUAUAUAUCCGCAGAAAAGGAAAAAUGAAACUGCAGAAACCAGCCAGAAAAUCGAAGAGAAGAGAGUUCAUCUGUUUGGUCUGCUAAUCAAGCAGCCACAGUCGUCGGGCAUCCCUAAGAUUCAAAUAGAAGAAAGAACACUGAGAGUGAAAUGGUACGGCGUUGUAUGUGAUAACUAAAAGUUUUCACUCUUUAAAGAGGUUAUCAAUACCCCUGUCCUUGUAGUACAAGGGGUUAUCAAACCAAACUUGUAGUGGAGACACUAAUCUAUGUUACUUGUGAUCUUAAGUCAAGAUGAAAUGAUAAGGGUUUUAACUAAACUAUUGAACGGGUAAAUAAGCAUGUAAAUGAAGCAAGAGAUGAGAUUUGAACUAAGUAAAGAUGCAAAUGACAAGCAAAUGGUUCGGAUGAUGAUAAUAUAUGAUAAAGGCAGAAGCUUUAGACAGGAUACUUGACUCGGGUGCUUCCAAGCUAAACUAAUGGGUUAAUGAAUCAUUUUAUCAAGCGGUUUCAUUUAACUUUGAACUCAAGGCAUGUUAAUCUUCUCAUGAAAGUAUUAAACAUCUAAACUGAUCCUCUUUCAUACCAAAAUCCCUUUUGAGAGGCAUGAAUCAGUCAGCAAUAAGAUUCAGUUCAAUAUGUCAUUUAAGAGAACAAACUAUCACUCUCGCGAUGAAAGACUCUUAAACCCUUAACCGAGUGGUUCAGACAUUUCUACAAACACUUUUGAUGCGAGAUAUGUCUCAGAUCUGAAUCUCAAGUGAUGUGCUUGGAUCCAGCUUAGAGAUCUCGUUGGUUAAAGAAUGAAACAUGCAAGACUAGACACCUAAACCUAUUAAUCUAUCUUGAAAGCACCCUAAUCUACCUAGCUAAAGCCGCUUAAACGACUACUCACUGAUCAUAACGAGCUCACUCAGUCCUUUGCAAGACGUGUAGCUAGUCAUGAUAAGGAUUUGAUGCUGGAUGAUAAAAGAAAUAAAGAAAGAACAAGAUUCUGAUGCAAAAACGAGAUAUCGGAUUAGAUUAAUCAAGUUUCACAAAAGAGGCAAGUUCUUAAAGCUAAAAGAUGAUAAGAGAUAAGAUGAUUAGGUUUUUGGUCCUAAAAUGUAUUUAUAGUAAAGGGAAAGUGUCGCGGGUCAGCCCGGAACAAACCGGGUACUGAUCCGCCUUCUUGGGUUGAUGGGUGAGUGCAACGGUGUGUCGGAGAGUGAAGCCGAGGCCUUGAUGUCGAGGAGUGCACGUGAGCCAAGAUCCAAAUGGAGGUCUCGUGAAGAACACGUCAAGAACAUGCAUGAACCCUAGUCUUUGAUCCAUCUUCACGUGUGUGUUCUUGAGCCGUCUUGUUCUUGAUUCUGGGGUUGUGACAAGGGACCUCGCCAUAGAAUGUCGCGGGGCUUGGUAGUCGAGGGGUUCGGGAGAACAGAGUCCGGCAUGCACGCCGAGGCCAUUACACCGAGGUGCACGUUCAACACUUAGUCAUUUCUAGCUUCAAUUCUUACGUGUGCAUGCCUUGAUCCCAACGUGCCGAGGCGUCAGCACGAGGUCUAGUCCAAAAUACUCCCAAUAUAUGAGCCUUGACUUGAGCAAUGUCGAGGUGAUGAUGCCGAGGCCUGAGAAAAUACUUAGCGCGUACCGCGACUCAUUUAGGCUCGUGUCGACCAUCUCGCCUUCCGGAAGCAGUAACUUUCAGCACACGACUCCAAUUGCUUCGAGACCAGUUCCAUAGUCGAGAUGACUCGAUAAGCUCGAACUUGGAUGAAGAAACCGUCGGAGCUUGGGAAGUGGAAGGCUUCCUGGAUUUCACAUCUUUGCACCGCAUUGAAAUCACCAAAAAUAAAGCUUUUGGACCGAUGUGAACUCCGGAGACUUUAUCUUUCACACCACUGUUCCGAAUAGAACGAUUCCAACUGUUCUGAGAAGGUCUUUCAGAGAUCUCAAACUUUUAUGAAGACCGGGCAGGUUAGUUCGGACCGGAAAGGCUCCGUCCUUCGUGAUCUUUGAAGUCCGCUGUUCGGUUCUCGAGUACGCGCAGUACUGGUGCAUCUUCCGGAAGCCGUAUCGUUCUCCUCACUGGUCCGAAUUGGAUGAUUCCAACUGUUCCGGGAUAGUUGCUUGAUUAUCUCCAACUUUGAUGAAGACCCCGCCAACUGAUUCGGACCGGAAGGUUCCCCGGAUUGCUGAUCUUCGAAACGCGCGGCCAAGGACAGGUAUUAGCCGAGAAAAGCUUCCCGCGGUAAGGAAAAUGACCGAGGGAUAUGUACCGCGGUAAGCUUUUUAACCGUAAAAUUCCUCUCGCCUCGGCCAAAAAAUUAACCCGAGGUAAUUUGCACCCGAUACUCGACCUUGGCCGAUUUUGGACGAUCGGUAAGGGUUUUGGCCGAUAAUGAGCGUUCGGUAAGCUUUUUGACCGAGGUUUCUGUCCAGCCGGUAUGAGUUUUGGCCGAGAAAUUCCUCCAAGCGGUUUUCACCAUUUUUGACCCUUUUCUUCACCGUUUUCUUUCCUGCUCCUCUUCUUAAGCUCCAAAUGGCUUCCAAAACACCUGAUAAAGACUUCAAAACAUGCAAAAACUCUUUGGGACCUAAUGCAAACCCUAAAUCCUAUUUAGAUGCCUAAAGACUCAAUUUACAUGGGAAAACACAUGAUGAGAACUCUAAAAUGCAAUCUAAAUGAUGCAAAAUAUAGACAUAUCAACUCCCCCACACUUGUCCUUUGCUUGUCCUCAAGCGAAAAGAACAAAUGAGAGAGAGAGGUUGUAGUGCAGAUGGAGCUCAUAUUUUCUUUUUAGAGAGAAGUGAUCACAAUAAGAACUCGGAUUCAUGCUCAAAUAUGCAAUGCAAAGCUAUACUCAGAUAUUUUCCAAAUAAAGCACGGAAUCUCCACAAGUCAUCAUCACAUUCAACUCUUUCACAAUCAUUAAGUUUGUAACCGGUGAAUCAAAUGAUGCAAUGUUCAAAUAGGCUGGCUUGGCUAGGGUAAGGUCAUGAGAUAAAAAUGAUCUCAUCAAUAUUCAAGCGGGAGCAAUGCAGCAAAGGGAUCUCUCUAUGAACGACCAAACUUUGGCAGAAUGCUAAAGGUAAAAAGUAACCUAUGCAUACAAGGGCAAGACUCAUCACACCCCACACUCCACUCAAAGCUUUCUCACUUGCUCACCCUCUCAAGAUCCUCACUCUUCUCAAUCGUUUUCUUUUCACUAGGGGACUCAUUUUUUGCUUUCAUUCUCAAGUCUUGGAAUUCAUUUAUUCGCAUAGCUCUUCCCUUUCACAGCGAAUAGCCUCUUUUCUUUUUGUUUUAGAACACUUGAGCCUUUUUGGCUUCUUUUCAUUUCAGAGACUAAAUUUUUCUUUUAAAAACAUCAGAGCUCAUCUUUUCAAAUCCAAGACUCAAUUCUUUUUCUUUCAUCCCCCUAGCUAUUUCCACUUUCUCUUUUCCACUCAACUCACCUUUUUCCACUCACCAACAAGUCUUUUCCCCCACACUUAUUCCUUGCCAAUACUCUCAGUUCCUUGAUGUUGGAACAUUGCACUCAAUGAGACAUGCCCUUGUCGCUCUAAACCUAACACUUUCUUCUAAGUUCAGUCCAAGGUGGCCUUACAAUUCACACACAAACAUUGGCUCAAAAGAAAGAUGGGUUCAAGGUGAGGGAACUGAUCCAUGAUGCGGAUUCAGCUACUUGAGCUAAGGAAGGAGGGUGGUAAAAACAGCGAUUCUAGCUCAAGUAUGUAUAUCGGUAUCCACAAGCCUAUUCAAGCAAUGCAUCAAAAGAUAUUUUCAAUUCAAGUUCAGGGUUAUCACUUAGUUAGAGUUGAGUGUAAUUCAAACUUGCUUCUCAAAUUCAAAUCGUUGCAAGCUUUACAAGCACAGAAUGAGUUUCACAAGCAUAUUUAGUUCAAGUUCUCAAGUGAUUUAUUCUCUAGGAAAAAAAUCUAUCAUUGCUCCUUGCACUGAUGCAAUCCUACAUGAUGCAACUAGACUCGAUCUUAGAAUGCGAGAUGCAACUAGAAUGAUGCAUUUUUUGUGAAAUUUUUCAAUUUAUCAUAUGUACUAAGCUAGAUGAGACUCAAGAAUGCAAAAGUCAAAUAAGAACAAAGAAAACAAGAUCAGAAAACACAAAGCUCCUCCCUUACACUUAAAUAACACAGUCCCUUGUGUUAUAAAAGCGGGUGAGAGAAGUAAAAAGACAAACUAAACAAAUGCAGGAUGGUAUAUACAAGAUGCAUAUUUACAAGGUUUGAAGUCGAUACCUCAGUCUGAGAGGUCUGAUCCCAAGUAGUGCGAGGGAUUUGACGUUGAGCAGGAGGGUGUGGACUGACGUGGUGGGCUGCUCUCCGAGGGUUCAGGUAAGAAAGCUGUGGCAGGAUCGAUCCAGUCCUCUUUGCCUGGUGGAAACUCCGGGUUCCUCGCGUUUGAGCUUUCUCAAACCUCUUCUUGUGUAACCGGUGCGGUUGAGGUCGCCGAGUUCUUAUCCGGUGAGGAUGGCCUGGUUAGUUGCUUGACCUUCUUUUUCAAGUGCCUAGUCCACCAACGCGUGAAUGGUCUUGUCUUGCCACUUACACCACUUUUGGAGGGUGUUUACUCUCGAAUACAGCUUCUUGGUGUGGCCUGCUCCAAUCCUUCUCUCAGCGUGUCUCUGUUCCUCAUUCUCACAUCCGGCCGGGCCAUUCUUGUUCUGAGGCUUGCUAGGUGCGGCCUUGGUGCACUUGCGCAUUUGUGGGUCGAGAGAUGGGUUGUACAACUGAUCUUUGAGGACAUAGAAGGAGACGUUACACUGCUUAUCAAGCAUGGUGAGGCCUCGGUUAGGCACUAGAACCUGUGUGCCGUCUCUGUGCAUCAGUGUGAAGUUGUAAACCCAUCUGUCUCCUGACUUGCCUCUGAAGAAUCCACUUUUACUUAGAUAUUGCUCAUCAAUGAGAUUCGGCCUUGAUGGUUAAUCAGGGAAUAUGAACCCUUGAGCUCUCAAAAUCUUAGUGACAAUCCAACCGUUCUGAAGCCUCCUUGCUCCUUUCUUCUUUCAGUCGCACCAGACAUUGUGCCUAUAAGUAAGCAUUUGAAUCGCAAAGAACGCGCCUAAAGAGGGUACAUGCAUUGGCCCUUGGAACUCCUUGUUCUUCAUUUGAGUGAUGAGCGGCUUCAGUCCAAGUCCUAACAGUUCAAGCUCGCCUAAGUUUCUCUUAAGCACCCAGAACUCAGGAUUUCACCGAAAAUAAACAACCCAGGUGUCGAGUAACCAGAAAUCACUGAAAAUGCAUGGCCCGACGCAUUGUAACUUAGCCCAGAUGUUUUGGAGAAGAAAUUAUGAAAGAAUGAGCAAGGUUAUGAGUGAAUGAGCUCAGAUAUUUACUUAUUACAGCUUUAAAAUUGGUUGAGAAGCAUUUAUUCCCAUUUCGUGGUUGUUCAUGGUGGUUGAAGGAAUUGAAUAAGAUGGCAUUUUCGUAAAUAAAUGGUCUUUAAGAGGACCAAUGAGACUUUACCCAAAUUAAAGAAAAAUUGAAAUAAUAGAUGUAUAAUGGCAUUUUCGUUAAUAGUUUAGGUGGGGAGGAUAAAAUUGUGAGAAAAUCGCAAAACUUGGAGAGAAAAAAAAAGAGGUUAGUUUGGUGUUUGACUUUGAAAUAUAGGUUAAAUCUGAAACUCUCCCUAUUAUUUAAGUUUAAAUAUUUAAACUUUAGACUUAUUUAAUAAAAAUAUACAAUAAUAUAUCAUUUUCAUAUCUGUUAUUGAAAUUAUUAUUUAAAUUUUAAUAUUUAAAUUAAAUUUAAAUUAAUAUCUGGGUUAUUAUUUUUUUAAAGAUAUAAUAAUAUUUUUUUAUAAUUUUUUAUAAUUUAACCUAUAUUUAAGGAAAUCAAUAACAAAUCUAAAUUAAAAACUAAAUUUUUGUGAUUUAUAUUAAAUUAGAAAUUAAAAUACAUUAUUUUAUUAAUAUUACACUAAAUUAAAUUAUUUAGUAAAUCUAAAUUUAAAUCAAUAUUUUUGUUUGACAACAAAAAUAACAGUUAUCCAAAAACAAAAUUAUAAGAAACCAAUUAAAAAUUCUGUUUGGACACAAAACACACUUCUCUUUUAAUAGUACAGAUAAGGUUUUAUUUUCCUUUUUAAUAAAUUAUAGGGUCACAUUUUUUUUUGGUCCACCAUUCUUGUUGGACCAGUGAAAGUUUUUGUUUUUGAUCAUCUGUGAAUGUUUCAUUUCUAACUAUUUUUUAUAUUAAAACAAAAAAAACUAUCUAAAAUAUUCUAAUUACAUUGACAAAAGAAAAUCUAAUUAGUCAUAUAUAUAUAUAUAUAUAUAGUAUAAACGAAGUAAAAUUUUACUUCUAAGCUCAGGAUAACUAAUUACUCUUUAACUCUUAUUAAAUCAUCAUAUAUAGUAUAAGCAAAGUAAAAUUUUACUUCUAAACUCUCUUAUUCAAUUUUAGAGUGGCUAAUUACUCUUUAAUCCUCAUUAAAAAUCGGUUAAUACUUUUAUUUCGGUUCAAAUUAAGUUUUUCCAAAAUAAUAAAAUAAUUGUACCGAAUUUUGUUUAUUAUUGGGCCUUUUCAUAUUUUGUGAUUAUUGGAUUUGAUUCUUUCUAAUAUCGAUUAAAGGAUUUUGUUUAGGCACGUACAAAAAUUUUGUUCUGUUGUUUGAAAUUCGAACAAAAUUUUUUAUAUAGCUUUAUUUUUCAGGUUUUGUAACUAAGGAUAAACUAAUGUUUAUUUGUUUGAUGACACAAACUUACACAGGAAAAAGAAGGUGAAGAGUAAACCCAUUACGGAUGUUUUUUUCUCUGAAGGAACUCCAUGCAGCCAUAAACAGUUUUAAUUACGAUUAUAAAAAAACUUGUGGAGGUCGUUUUGGUAGUGUGUAUUGGGGUCAGUUAUGGGAUGGAUCUCAACUAAUGAUCUUUUUAGAUUAUUAACUAGAACUUGCUUGAUAUGGUCGCUUUGAUUUUCAUCUAUUAUAAGUUUUUGCUGUAGAUUGUAGUAGAGUGAUUGAAAGCAUGGAGUAGCAGAGAAGAGAAUUUUUCGCUGUAAAUAGAGAGUUCAAGAGUCAAACCUGUUUCAUAAAAAAUUAUACUUCAAUACCCUACUGAGACGAUAUAAUACGAAGAUCAUAUGAAGCUCAUAUAUAUCCGCAGAAAAGGAAAAUUGAAACUGCAGAAACCAGCCAGAAAAUCGAAGAUAAGAGAGUUCAUCUGGUUGGUCUGCUAAUCAAGCAGCCACAGUGGGCAUCCCUGAGAUUCAAAUAGAAGAAAGAACACUGAGAGUGAAAUGGUACGGCGUUGUAUGUGAUAACUAAAAGUUUUCACUCUUUAAAGAGAUUAUCAAUACUCCUUGUAGUACAGGGGGUUAUCAAACCAAACUUGUAGUGGAGACACUAAUCUAUGUUACUUGUGAUCUUAAGUCAAGAUGAAAUGAUAAGGGUUUUAACUAAACUAUUUAACGGGUAAAUAAGCAUGUAAAUGAAGCAAGAGAUGAGAUUUGAACUAAGUAAAGAUGCAAAUGACAAGCAAAUGGUUCGGAUGAUGAUAAUAUAUGAUAAAGGCAGAAGCUUUAGACAGGAUACUUGACUCGGGUGCUUCCAAGCUAAACUAAUGGGUUAAUGAAUCAUUUUAUCAAGCGGUUUCAUUUAACUUUGAACUCAAGGCAUGUUAAUCUUCUCAUGAAAGUAUUAAACAACUAAACUGAUCCUCUUUCAUACCAAAAUCCCUUUUGAGAAGCAUGAAUCAGUCAGCAAUAAGAUUCAGUUCAAUAUGUCAUUUAAGAAAACAAACUAUCACUCUCGCGAUGAAAGACUCUUAAACCCUUAACCGAGUGGUUCAGACAUUUCUACAAACACUUUUGAUGCGAGAUAUGUCUCAGAUCUGAACCUCAAGUGAUGUGCUUGGAUCCAGCUUAGAGAUCUCGUCGGUUAAAGAAUGAAACAUGCAAGACUAGACACCUAAACCCAUUAAUCUAUCUUGAAAGCACCCUAAUCUUCCUAUCUAAAGCCGCUUAAACGACUACUCACUGAUCAUAAAGAGCUCACUCAGUCCUUUGCAAGACGUGUCGCUAGUCAUGAUAAGGAGUUUGAUGCUGGAUGAUAAAAGAAAUAAAGAAAGAACAAGAUUCUGAUGCAAAAACGAGAUAUCGGAUUAGAUUAAUCAAGUUUCACAAAAGAGGCAAGUUCUUAAAGCUAAAAGAUGAUAAGAGAUAAGAUGAUUAGGUUUUUGGUCCUAAAAUGUAUUUAUAGUAAAGGGAAAGUGUCGCGGGUCCGCCCGGAACAAACAGGGUACUGAGCCGCCUUCUUGGGUUGAUGGGUGAGUGCCACGGGGUGUCGGAGAGUGAAGCCGAAGCCUUGAUGUCGAGGAGUGCACGUGAACCAAGAUCCAAAUGGAGGUCUCGUGAAGAACACGUCAAGAACAUGCAUGAACCCUAGUCGUUGAUCCAUCUUCACGUGUGUGUACUUGAGCCGUCUUGUUCUUGAUUCGGAGGUUAUACAAGGGACCUCGCCAUAGAAUGUGGCGGGGCUUGGUAGUCGAGGGGUUCGGGAGAACAGAGUCCGGCAUGCACGCCAAGGCCAUUACACCGAGGUGCACGUUCAACACUUAGUCAUUUCUAGCUUCAUUUCUUACGUGUGCAUGCCUUGAUCCCAACGUGCCGAGGCGUCAGCACAAGGUCUAGUCCAAAAUACUCCCAAGAUAUGAGCCUUGACUUGAGCAAUGUCGAGGUGAUGAUGCCGAGGCCUGAGAAAAUACUUAGCGCGUACCGCGACUCAUUUAGGCUCGUGUCGACCAUCUCGCCUUCCGGAAGCAGUAACUUUCAGCACACGACUCCAAUUGCUUCGAGACCAGUUCCAUAGUCGAGAUGACUCGAUAAGCUCGAACUUUGAUGAAGAAAACGUCGGAGCUUGGGAAGUGGAAGGCUUCCUGGAUUUCACAUCUUUGCACCGCAUUGAAAUCACCGGAAAAUAAGCUUUUGGACCGAUGUGAACUCCGGAGACUUUAUCUUUCAAACCACUGUUCCGAAUAGAGCGAUUCCAACUGUUCUGCGAAGGUGUUUCACAGAUCUCAAACUUUUAUGCAGACCGGGCAGGUUAGUUCGGACCGGAAAGACUCCGUCCUUCGUGAUCUUUGAAGUCCGCUGUUCGGUUCUCGAGUAUGCGCAGUACUGGUGCAUCUUCCGGAAGCCGUAUCGUUCUCCUCACUGGUCCGAAUUGGAUGAUUCCAACUGUUCCGGGAUCUUUGCUUGAUUAUCUCCAACUUUGAUGAAGACCCCGCCAACUGAUUCGGACCGGAAGAUUCCCCGGAUUGCUGAUCUUCGAAACGCGCGGCCAAGGACAGGUUUUAGCCGAGAAAAGCUUCCCGCGGUAAGGAAAAUGACCGAGGGAUAUGUACCGCGGUAAGCUUUUUAGCCGUAAAAUUCCUCUCGCCUCGGCCAAAAACUUAACCCGAGGUAAUUUGCACCCGAUACUCGACCUUGGCCGAUUUUGGUCAAUCGGUAAGGGUUUUGGCCGAUAAUGAGCGUUCGGUAAGCUUUUUGACCGAGGUUUCUGUCCAGCCAGUACGAGUUUUGGCCGAGAAAUUCCUCCAAGCGAUUUUCACCAUUUUUGACCCUUUGCUUCACCGUUUUCUUUCCUGCUCCUCUUCUUAAGCUCCAAAUGGCUUCCAAAGCACCUGAUAAAGACUUCAAAACAUGCAAAAACUCUUUGGGACCUAAUGCAAACCCUAAAUCCUAUUUUGAUGCCUAAAGACUCAAUUUACAUGGGAAAACACAUGAUGAGGACUCUAAUAUGCAAUCUAAAUGAUGCAAAAUAUAGACAUAUCAACUCCCCCACACUUGUCCUUUGCUUGUCCUCAAGCGAAAAGAACAAAUGAGAGAAAGAGGUUGUAGUGCAGAUGGAGCUCAUAUUUCCUUUUUAGAGAGAAGUGAUCACAAUAAGAACUCAGAUUCAUGCUCAAAUAUGCAUUGCAAAGCUAUACUCAGAUAUUUUCCAAAUAAAGCACGGAAUCUCCACAAGUCAUCAUCACAUUCAACUCUUUCACAAUGAUGCAAUGUUCGUAACCGGUGAAUCAAAUGAUGCAAUGUUCAAAUAGGCUGGCUUGGCUAGGGUAAGGUCAUGAGAUAAAAAUGAUCUCGUCAAUAUUCAAGCGGGAGCAAUGCAGCAAAGGGAUCUCUCUAUGAACGACCAAACUUUGGCAGAGUGCUAAAGGUAAAAAGUAACCUAUGCAUACAAGUGCAAGACUCAUCACACCCCACACUCCACUCAAAGCUUUCUCACUUGCUCACCCUCUCAAGAUCCUCACUCUUCUCAAUCGUUUUCUUUUCACUAGGGGACUCACUUUUUGCUUUCAUUCUCAAGUCUUGGAAUUCAUUUAUUCGCAUAGCUCUUCCCUUUCACAACGAAUAGCCUCUUUUCUUUUUAUUUUAGAACACUUGAGCCUUUUUGGCUUCUUUUCAUUUCAGAGACUAAAUUUUUCUUUUAAAAACAUCAGAGCUCAUCUUUUCAAAUCUAAGACUCAAUUCUUUUUCUUUCAUCCCCCUAGCUAUUUCCACUUUCUCUUUUCCACUAAACUCACCUUUUUCCACUCACCAACAAGCCUAUUCAAGCAAUGAAUCAAAAGAUAUUUUCAAUUCAAGUUCAGGGUUAUCACUUAGUUAGAGUUGAGUGUAAUUCAAACUUGCUUCUCAAAUUCAAAUCGUUGCAAGCUUUACAAGCACAGAAUGAGUUUCACAAGCAUAUUUAGUUCAAUUUCUCAAGUGAUUUACUCUCUAGGAAAAAAAUCUAUCAUUGCUCCUUGCACUGAUGCAAUCCUACAUGAUGCAACUAGACUCGAUCUUAGAAUGCGAGAUGCAACUAGAAUGAUGCAUUUUUUGUGAAAUUUUUCAAUUUAUCAUAUGUACUAAGCUAGAUGAGACUCAAGAAUGCAAAAGUCAAAUAAGAACAAAGUAAACAAGAUCAGAAAACACAAAGCUCCUCCCCCACACUUAAAUAACACAGUCCCUUGUGUUAUAAAAGCGUGUGAGAGAAGUAAAAAGACAAACUAAACAAAUGCAGGAUGGUAUACAAGAUGCAUAUUUACAAUGUUUGAAGUCGAUACCUCAGUCUGAGAGGUCUGAUCCCAAGUAGUGCGAGGGAUUUGAUGUUGAGCAGGAGGGUGUGGACUGACGUGGUGGGCUGCUCUACGAGGGUUCAGGUAAGAAAGCUGUGGCAGGAUCGAUCUAGUCCUCUUUGCCUGGUGGAAACUCCGGGUUCCUCGCGUUUGAGCUUUCUCCAACCUCUUCUUGUGUAACCGGUGCGGUUGAGGUCGCCGAGUUCUUAUCCGGUGAGGAUGGCCUGGUCAGUUGCUUGACCUUCUUUUUCAAGUGCCUUACACAGUCCACCAACGCGUGAAUGGUCUUGUCUUGCCACUUACACCGCUUUUGGAGGGUGUUUACUCUCGAAUAAAGCUUCUUGGUGUGGUAUUCAGGCUCACCCCACACGUAUGGAUCAAAGUGAUAUCGGCCUGCUCCAAUCCUUCUCUCAGCGUGUCUCUGUUCCUCAUUCUCACACUAGCCGGGCCAUUCUCGUUCUGAGGCUUCCUAGGUGCGGCCUUGGUGCACUUGCGCAUUGGUGGGUCGAGAGAUGGGUUGUACAACUGAUCUUUGAGGACAUAGAAGGAGACGUUACACUGCUUAUCAAGCAUGGUGAGGCCUCGGUUAGGCAGUAGAACCUGUGUGCCGUCUCUGUGCAUCAGUGUGAAGUUGUAAACCCAUCUGUCUCCUGACUUGCCUCCGAAGAAUCCACUUUUACUUAGGUAUUGCUCAUCAAUGAGAUUCGGCCUUGAUGGUAAAUCAGGGAAUAUGAACCCUUGAGCUCUCAAAUCUUAGUGACAAUCCAACCGUUCUGAAGCCUCCUUGCUCCUUUCUUCUUUCGGUCGCACCAGACAUUGUGCCUGUAAGUAAGCAUUUGAAUCGCAAAGAACGCGCUUAAAGAGUGUACAUGCAUUGGCCCUUGGAACUCCUUCUUGUUCUUCAUUUGAGUGAUGAGCGGCUUCAGUCCAAGUCCUAACAGUUCAAGCUCGGCCGUAUGAAUAACACCAGGGUUAUAUGUCGAGAAGAAUGUAGAGGCUAGAACUCGGUUCGUGUAUCUGAUCGCAGGGUUUCUGAUGCAACUCUUCUUGCUCUUGCCUCCCAAGUAAGGUCCAAAAGCGAUUGUUUCCCACAGGGCAGCCAACUCUUCUUUUGGGUACACAAAUUUGUCAAGUGAGCUACCGUUCCUCUCAAAACCAAAUAUCUCGUCAAGCUCCUUGAAACUGACCUUGUAGUGCACGCAUUCCAUGUCAAACUCUAUGUGGCCUAAUCCUUUGCCAUGUAAUCGUUUGGGAUCUCUCUUGGGGUAGAUGACAACCUCCAAAGUGGCAAGAAACUGUUGUGUGAUCCCCUCAUAAGCAACAUCGCUCAUCUCAAAGAACUCGGCCAAGCCCAUGUUUCGAAAGAUGAGGGUAACAUCGUCAAGUAUCUCAAGCUUUCUCAACAACUCCAUAUCAGGAAACCGACCUUGUGCCACUCUUAUAGAGUUAAAGUGGUCCAAGUACUCCUCAGUAGUUGGGAAAUGCUUUUCCUCGGGUUCGGCCUUUGUUUCCUUCUUUGGCCUCUUGCCACAAUCGGUUUCAUGAGGGACCAGGGCUCUCAGCUCAUCUUCAUCGUUUCCAGUAGCUGCCUGCUUCCCAUUCCUUCUUGAUUCAAGGGCUGGUGCAGGAAUGAGCUCGGCGUUCCUUGUUCGUUUAGCGGCUGGCUCGCCAUCGGGUCUUGUUGAGGGUUUCUUGCUUGUUCCACCAUUACGUGCCAAGGCAACAGCUUUUCCUUUCGUACCCCUCCUCUGGACCUCGCUUUAGUUCAUCUCACGAGCAGGAACGGUUCGUUCGUCGGUCAUCUGCAAGAGAGAUUCUCAAGAAAACCAUUAGAAUUAAGUAUAUCGCUAAGAACAUGUAUCUCAAGAUGGCAAGAACAGAGCUUUUUCUCUAACAAGACCGGUUUUAUAGCUUCUUCAAACAUCAAAGAGAUUAACAACGAGCUAGAACAACCAGUGAGAGGCAAGAUAUCUAGACAGUUCAGCACAUAACUCAGUUCACAUUUAAAGCCGGUUCCAAGCGCAUUUUCUCAAGAAUUUUAAAAACUCAAGAACAAGUGAUUUUCAGAGCAAAGACCAGUUUUGCAUGUGUUGUCUAUCGUGAUGGAAUUUUUAAAAUUGUUCCCAAAGGCCGAUACGUUCUAAAAGAAUCGAUUCCACAUUUUACAAACAUUAAAGCUCGCAAAUAAUGAAGGAAAAAGAUGAGUUCUUUGAGAUGCAAAUACCUUUGGGAAUCCAAGGUUCAAGCUUAGUGAGAUGCUUAUGCAGAAUAGACAACACCCUAACGAGUCUAGAGCACUUGGAAUCACGUGAAAUGAAUGAGAAAUGAGAGAGUCGUGUUCGCAAAAUGUAGAGAAAAGAGUGAAGAAGGCAAAUUCUGCGUUUUGGCUCGGUAUGUAGGCUGAUAUGGGCUGGGGCGCGCUUUCCAGCUGGCAUUUGGACUGUUGUGGGACUGGUCCCCCUCUCUGCUCUAACUCCAGCCGUUGACCGCGCCAAAAACGCUCUUGACCAGGCGUUUAAAUUCAAAAUGCCGCGCAAAGCCUUCAAAUGGACGCGGUAUGGGAAUGACGUGGGCCGUACGGUCUAAACCGAUUUUUCUCGUGUUAACUUGAGCGGCCUCGACCUGUUCCACCACGAGGGCACCAAGCCGAGUGGAAUGAGCUCAUGCUAAUGAGUAAAUCUCCGUGGCCUCAAAGUCUUUUCCAUGGACCGCGCAAAGCCUCUUUUUCGAUCUAAGUGUUCCGAGUGUUCUUGUUUUUGUUCGUUCUUGAAACCGGGCAUCUCGGCAUGCUCCACCACGAGGGUAUCAUGCCGAGGUCACUUGUUUUAACAAAGAACACUUGGUGCUUGGGGGUUUAAACGGGCUGGCCUUGGUGUAAACUAGUCGCGGCCUCGGAUCGAGGUUUUUGACCGUUUUAAUUAAACAUCGCUCCUCGGUAUAAUUAUACCGAGGUGUUUACACCGUGAGCCUCCCCCACACUUAGUCAUUUCACCACUUCUCUUCACAUACACGGCAAUGAUGGAAAUAAGUCGAGGAGUUUAGCUGAGGUUCUCAAGCUUACACUCGGUAAAAGAUGACCGCGGUAUGAAUAUACCGAGGGUCGAUACCGAGGCUAUGAAUAUUCUCUGACUUAAGUCAUCAGACCGUGUCUGUUUCAAGCUUUUCUCUCAAGGCUCACUGUCUAACUCCUGAAACACUUAACAAACCCUUCAAAAAGCUUUAAAUAAAAGAAAAAAAAAAAGAAGAUGAAAAACGAAAUAUGUACAAGGAUAGGCUUGGGGUGUCUCCCAAGAGCACUUUGUUUAACGUCUCUAAGUUUGACUUUUCAUACCCUUUUAGGCUGAUUCCGGUUCAAGAAGAGGAACUGAGGUAGCUCCCUCUCUUGUUUCUGAUGCCAAGUAAUGCUUUACCCUCUGAGCGUUUACCACAAAACCUUGCCCAUCUUUUCCUUUUAGAACCACGGCUCCAUAGGGCCUUACUUCAAGAAUUGUGAACGGACCGAACCACCUAGACCUCAGCUUCCCAGGGAAUAGCUUAAGUCUUGAGUUAAACAACAGAACUUGGUCCCCUUCUUUGAACUCUCUCUUGUGUAUCUUCUUGUCAUGGAGCGCCUUGGUCUUUUCCUUAUAGAUUUUAGAGCUCUCAAAAGCGUCUAAACGGAUUUCCUCAAGCUCGUGAAGCUGUAAAACUCUCUUCUCUUGUGCAGUCUUGAUAUCAAAGUUCAGAAGUUUUACUGCCCAAAGAGCUUUGUACUCCAGCUCAACCGGUAAAUGGCAGCUUUUCCCAUAGAGCAAGUUAAACGGUAAGGUUCCAAUGGGGGUCUUGUACGCGGUCCUGUAAGCCCACAAAGCAUCAUCAAGUUUCCUGCUCCAAUCCUUUCUAGACGAGCUCACGGUUCUCUCCAAAAUGGCCUUUAUCUGUCGGUUAGAAACCUCCACUUGGCCGCUGGUUUGUGGAUGAUAAGGGCUGGCCACCUUGUGCUUUACUCCGUGCUUCUUCAGAAGACUCUCAAGGGUCUUGUUGAUGAAAUGGCUUCCUCCAUCACUGAUAACUACUCUUGGGACUCCAAACCGUGGGAAAAUGAUACUCUUGAAGAGUUUUACCACCACUUUUGAAUCGUUGGUCGGAGAUGUGACUGCUUCAACCCAUUUACUCACAUAGUCCACCGCGACAAGGAUAUACUGGUUCCCGUAUGAGCUUACAAAGGGACCCAUGAAGUCAAUGCCCCAACAGUCGAAGACCUCUACUUCAAAAAUUGGAUUUUGGGGCAUCUCAUUCCUCUUGGAUAUGUUACCGUGCCUUUGACAAGCUUCACACCUCGAGACUACAUCUUGAGCGUCCUUGAACAUAGUCGGCCACCAGAAACCGCUUUGUAAAACCUUGGCAACCGUCUUGAAUGCACCUAGGUGACCACCAUAUGAUGAACCGUGGCAUUCUUAUAGCACCGGAUGGAUCUCUUCUUCGGCCAAGCAUUGCCUAAAGAGAUGGUCUUUGUUAAGCACGUAAAGAUAUGGCUCAUCCCAAUGAUAUCUCAUGACAUCUCUAAAGAACUUCUUCCUCUGAUAAGUGUCAAGAUCUGGUGGCUCUAAACCGCAAGACAAGUAGUUCACUAGAUCUGCGAACCAUGGAAGGCUUCUUUCCUUGAUCGUGUUGGCCUCCUCCACUUCUAAGUAAGACCUGACUAGCAUGAGGGUUUCCUCCGGUAAAGCAUCAUCAAUGGGGACCCGUUCUUCAAUCCUCAGCCUUGAGAGAUGAUCUGCGGCUCCGUUUUCAAUGCCCUUCUUAUCAAGUAUCUCCAUGUCAAAUUCUUGGAGCAAUAAGACCCAUCUUAACAGUUGAUAUAUUCAUAAAUUGCAUCAUUUAAUGUACAUAUUCUAGUCCAAAUCAUGUCUCAUUUGCAUGCAUUUUAGGUGUUUAAGCAUUGUUUUAGGACUUAGGAGAUUGCAUUAGGUCCAAGAGAGUUUUGCAUGUUUUGGAGUGUUAAACAGGUGCUUUUGGAGUUUAUUUGGAGUGGAGGAUGUGAUUCAGAUGAAGAAAUGGAGUUGAAAUGAUCAAAAAUGGUGAAAAGGAGCAAUUUUGGGUUUCUCGGCAAAAUGAUAUACUGAUGGCCGAAGAUUCUCGGCCAAAAUCCUUCCCGCGGGUAGCUUUCUCGGCCAAAAACACGUACCGCGGUCAAGUCUCUCGGCCAAAAUUCCCGGGUGCAGAUAUAUUUCCGAAAUCGCGUUACCGGAAGCUCUUGCCGGCAGAUUCAGCUGUCGGAGUCUUCAUAAAAGUUUGAGAUAAUUGAGUCAAGAGUUCAUAACAGUUGGAAUCAAGGCAUUUGGACCACGGAACUGAAAGAUAUGGUAAUCGUAAGACGAACAGGUCUCGCACUCAUUCCGGAGCAAUCCGAUACCCCUGAAUGAUCGCCUGUCCGGGGAGCCUUCCGGUCCGAUUCAGACGGUGGCUGCUUCAUAGAAGUUGGAGAGCAUUGCAUCACGGUCUCUUAGCAAGUGUAAUCGUGGAAUUCGGACGCGUGAGCAGAGAGAUAAGCUUGUCGGAAGGAACCCCAGUCUCGCAGGUAUUCCGGACCGAGCAGAUCAGUUCUAAAGGAUGCGAAGGACGGUGCAUUUCCAGGCCGAUUUAGUUUCCGGGUCCUUCAUGAGAACCAGAGACAUUUGAGUCUUCUUUCCAGAACGUCCAAGAGCAUUCAAUUCAGAUCUAUGAGCCGAAAGAUACGGUCUCCGGAAUGGACACAUGUCUAGACGCCUCUCUCUGGUCGUGUACAUGCACUGCAAAGAUGUGCCCUACAGGAAGCCUUACACUUCCCAAGAACCGAAGCUUCCUUCACUAAAGUUGGAGAUAAAUGAGUCCUCUGUCUUCUGCAACCAAAAUCAUUCAAUUCGGACAAGUCUCAUAGGAGUUACACUCUCCGGAAUGCGAAGUGGUCUAAGCUGCUCUGGAUGCUGCGAGAUGGUCUUGCGACUUGGUUAACCCGCAGGCCUGAAGAUGAACGCCUGAAUGCUGAUGCUGCGAGUUGAUAUGUGCGGGUAAACUAUCACUGGAAGAGGUCUGAAGCUCAAGAGCAAGAGAAAUGCUAAGUCCACAAUCGUGCGACUUAGGCAUGCGAGUUAGCCGCGCCUGGAACUAUGCCGCACGAUCACUCGCAAAUCACUCCGACUUGAGCCUGCGACCUAGGUGCAACAGAGACCAACCCGCACAGUUUGUACAUUCCCCAGAAACCGCCUUAGCCCUGCGAGUUGGAGAGGAAGGAGACCAAGCCGCAGCAACACUCGCAAAACACUCCUACUUAGGCGUGCGGCUAAGACAAGGCGAUUUAGGCUUCACAAGACAAGUCUUCAUCUACUGCGACUUAGGUGUGCGACCUGGGACAUACUGGACUGACCCGCAGGAUUUCCACUUGACCCAACUGAGCCGGGUCAGUACCCAAUUUGUCCUGGGCUGACCCGGUCCAUUAGCACUAGGUAUAUGUAGUUUUUUGGGAGAAAAGCCCUGGACAUCAUCUUCUCUCUUAGUUUCUCUCUAGUUUUCUUUCCUUUUUAGUGUAAAAACGUUUUUGAUUAAGAGAGAUCUCAAGGAUUUAAUCAAUCUAAGUCUGUUUCUCAUCAUCUCAUCAUCUCAUUUCUGCUUCUAAUCAUGAUUAACAUCAUCUCUUGCAAAAGAUUAGAUGUGUUCUUCAUGAUUAGUGAGUAGUCAUCUUUUAAGCUUCUAGGUGUGUAGAGUAGGGUGCUUAGAUGUAGAUUAAUGAUUGUUUAAGCUUAGAUUCUCUUCUCCUUUCCUUAGUUAGCUGAUCCUAAUGCUAGAUCCUUGCACAUCACUUGGGUCUAGAAUCUGGGUUUUUCAUGCACCAAAAGUGUUUGAUGAAAUGCCUGAAUGAAAGCUAACUAAGGGUUUAUGCAUUAAUGUCAUGGGAAUGAUUGUUAAAUGCAUGAAUGGCAUAUUAGAACUGUUUCUUAAUGCUCAUUGAUUCAUAUUUCACAAAUGAUGAUUUGGUUUGAAAAUGGAUUAGUGUAGAGGUUAGUGCCUUCAUGAGAGGAUUAAUCUAGAUUAGAGUUCUAAGUUAAUUGGAAUUUGAGAUCAUGUGAUGCUUGCUUUAUCUUUCUGUAUAAGAUUCAGUCUUUCUUAGCUCUUAUUUUGAUGCACAAAGAGGCUGUCUGGUCAUGUUAGACUUGGAACCUUAUGCUUGUUAACUGCUUAUUCACUAAUGGGAAUUAGUCUUGAAUUGGUAAUUAACAAAGGGAUUUCUGUCAUGAGAAUGAAUUAAUCUGAAUUGGAAGUCUAGACUAAAGAUUUGCAAGUGUUGCAUUGUUUGCUUAGCAUCAUGAAUUCACAUUUAAAGCACCCUAAUCAAUGAUCACAUCUAGAGGUUUAGCUUUCUUUUUAUUUGAAUUUGAGUGUUUGUUUAGUUUCUCUUGCUUUUUUUAAUUCUUAAUUACUGUUUGUUCUUGCUUGUUUUGUUAUAUGCUUUUAGAUAAUUUUGGUUACCAACUCAUCUGCUUAUUAGACUUGGAUUAAGAAUUGAUCCUCAUAGUUCUAGUGUCCAGAAUCUCUCCAUUUGGAUUGAUACCUCAAGUGCUACAAUGACAUGAGUAGUUGAGGAAUUGAUCAAGGAUUGAAAAAUUCCUACUAUCAAUUUGGCGCCGUUGCCAAUUGGAGAGUUCAUUCUAGCAUUAGGACUUUGGAUCUUCUUGAGAUCAAGUCAUUUUCUUUUGUUUUACUGAUUACCUUUCAAGUGCUGUCUUUGUUUUCAGGUACCGAAUCCCAUCAGAACACCGCAAUUAAGCGUGCUUGGGCGAGAGUAGUACUAGGAUGGGUGACCUCCCGGGAAGUCCUCGUGUUGCACCCCUUUUUUGUUCCUCUUGAUUUUUUUGUUUUUUUUUUUUUUGGUCUUUUCAUUUGAAAAACAAUGCAUCUUCCGAACGACGCUAUUUCAAGACCGUGUGGAACCACGCCUCCUACAGCAACUUUUCGAAAAGCCCCAAGAGUGCUCUCGGGCUUGCCCAAGGGUCUAAAGACCAUGGGUGUGGUGUACGAGGCCAAAAUUUUGAGUUUUAGACCCUCUUCCGGGCGUUUUUCUAAAACAUAAGCCCCGGUUUUAGUGUCGUCAAACGUGGUGUCCUAACUUAUAUAUCUUGGCACGAAUGCUCGUCGCAGCUGGGUGGGAAAACCCAUAUAAACAAUGCAACACACGCGAAGAGAUUUCAUUGCGGACUCAAAGCCAAAGGAUAUAUGCUAAUGCGAUACAUAUACUAACGGGUGCGAUCAUACCAGCACUAAUGCACCGGAUUCCAUCAGAACCCCGCAGUUAAGCGUGCUUGGGCGAGAGUAGUACUAGGAUGGGUGACCUCCCGGGAAGUCCUCGUGUUGCACCUUUUUUUGUUCCUCUUGAUUCUUUUCUUUUUAUUUUAUUUUUUGUCUUUUCACUUGAAAAUACAAAGGCAUCUUCCGAAGGACGCUAUUUCUAGACCGUGUGGAACCAGGCCUCCUACAACAACUUUUCGGAAAGCCCCUAGAGUGCUCUCGGGCUUGCCCAAGAAUUUAAAAACCAAGGGUGCGGUUUACGAGGCCAAAAUUUUGAGUUUUAGACCCUCUUCUGGGCGUUUUUCUAAAACAUAAGCCCCGGUUUUAGUAUCUUCAAACGUGGUGUCCUAACUUAUAUAUCUUGGCACGAAUGCUCGUCGCAGCUGGGCGGGAAAACCCAUAUAAACAAUGCAACACACGCGAAGAGAUUUCAUUGCGGACUCAAAGCCAAAGGAUAUAUGCUAAUGCGAUACAUAUACUUGAUGGGUGCGAUCAUACCAGCACUAAUGCACCGAAUCCCGUCAGAACACCGCAAUUAAGCGUGCUUGGGCGAGAGUAGUACUAGGAUGGGUGACCUCCCGGGAAGUCCUCGUGUUGCACCCCUUUUUUGUUCCUCUUGAUUUUUUUGUUUUUUUUUUUUUUUGGUCUUUUCAUUUGAAAAACAAUGCAUCUUCCGAACGACGCUAUUUCAAGACCGUGUGGAACCACGCCUCCUACAGCAACUUUUCGAAAAGCCCCAAGAGUGCUCUCGGGCUUGCCCAAGGGUCUAAAGACCAUGGGUGUGGUUUACGAGGCCAAAAUUUUGAGUUUUAGACCCUCUUCCGGGCGUUUUUCUAAAACAUAAGCCCCGGUUUUAGUGUCGUCAAAUGUGGUGUCCUAACUUAUAUAUCUUGGCACGAAUGCUCGUCGCAGCUGGGUGGGAAAACCCAUAUAAACAGUGCAACACACGCGAAGAGAUUUCAUUGCGCACUCAAAGCCAAAGGAUAUAUGCUAAUGCGAUACAUAUACUAACGGGUGCGAUCAUACCAGCACUAAUGCACCGGAUUCCAUCAGAACCCCGCAGUUAAGCGUGCUUGGGCGAGAGUAGUACUAGGAUGGGUGACCUCCCGGGAAGUCCUCGUGUUGCACCUUUUUUUGUUCCUCUUGAUUCUUUUCUUUUUAUUUUAUUUUUUGUCUUUUCAUUUGAAAAACAAGGCAUCUUCCGAAGGACGCUAUUUCUAGACCGUGUGGAACCAGGCCUCCUACAACAACUUUUCGGAAAGCCCCUAGAGUGCUCUCGGGCUUGCCCAAGAAUCUAAAAACCAAGGGUGCGGUUUACGAGGCCAAAAUUUUGAGUUUUAGACCCUCUUCUGGGCGUUUUUCUAAAACAUAAGCCCCGGUUUUAGUAUCUUCAAACGUGGUGUCCUAACUUAUAUAUCUUGGCACGAAUGCUCGUCGCAGCUGGGCGGGAAAACCCAUAUAAACAAUGCAACACACGCGAAGAGAUUUCAUUGCGGACUCAAAGCCAAAGGAUAUAUGCUAAUGCGAUACAUAUACUUGAUGGGUGCGAUCAUACCAGCACUAAUGCACCGAAUCCCAUCAGAACACCGCAAUUAAGCGUGCUUGGGCGAGAGUAGUACUAGGAUGGGUGACCUCCCGGGAAGUCCUCGUGUUGCACCCCUUUUUUGUUCCUCUUGAUUUUUUUGUUUUUUUUUUUUUUUGGUCUUUUCAUUUGAAAAACAAUGCAUCUUCCGAACGACGCUAUUUCAAGACCGUGUGGAACCACGCCUCCUACAGCAACUUUUCGAAAAGCCCCAAGAGUGCUCUCGGGCUUGCCCAAGGGUCUAAAGACCAUGGGUGUGGUUUACGAGGCCAAAAUUUUGAGUUUUAGACCCUCUUCUGGGCGUUUUUCUAAAACAUAAGCCCCGGUUUUAGUAUCUUCAAACGUGGUGUCCUAACUUAUAUAUCUUGGCACGAAUGCUCGUCGCAGCUGGGCGGGAAAACCCAUAUAAACAAUGCAACACACGCGAAGAGAUUUCAUUGCGGACUCAAAGCCAAAGGAUAUAUGCUAAUGCGAUACAUAUACUUGAUGGGUGCUAUCAUACCAGCACUAAUGCACCGAAUCCCAUCAGAACACCGCAAUUAAGCGUGCUUGGGCGAGAGUAGUACUAGGAUGGGUGACCUCCCGGGAAGUCCUCGUGUUGCACCCCUUUUUUGUUCCUCUUGAUUUUUUUGUUUUUUUUUUUUUUUUGGUCUUUUCAUUUGAAAAACAAUGCAUCUUCCGAACGACGCUAUUUCAAGACCGUGUGGAACCACGCCUCCUACAGCAACUUUUCGAAAAGCCCCAAGAGUGCUCUCGGGCUUGCCCAAGGGUCUAAAGACCAUGGGUAAGGUUUACGAGGCCAAAAUUUUGAGUUUUAGACCCUCUUCCGGGCGUUUUUCUAAAACAUAAGCCCCGGUUUUAGUGUCGUCAAACUUGGUGUCCUAACUUAUAUAUCUUGGCACGAAUGCUCGUCGCAGCUGGGCGGGAAAACCCAUAUAAACAGUGCAACACACGCGAAGAGAUUUCAUUGCGGACUCAAAGCCAAAGGAUAUAUGCUAAUGCGAUACAUAUACUAACGGGUGCGAUCAUACCAGCACUAAUGCACCGGAUUCCAUCAGAACCCCGCAGUUAAGCAUGCUUGGGCGAGAGUAGUCCUAGGAUGGGUGACCUCCCGGGAAGUCCUCGUGUUGCACCCCUUUUUUGUUCCUCUUGAUUUUUUUGUUUUUUUUUUUUUUGGUCUUUUCAUUUGAAAAACAAUGCAUCUUCCGAACGACGCUAUUUCAAGACCGUGUGGAACCACGCCUCCUACAGCAACUUUUCGGAAAGCCCCAAGAGUGCUCUCGGGCUUUUGAGUUUACGAGGCCAAAAUUUUGAGUUUUAGACCCUCUUCCGGGCGUUUUUCUAAAACAUAAGCCCCGGUUUUAGUGUCGUCAAACGUGGUGUCCCAACUUAUAUAUCUUGGCACGAAUGCUCGUCGCAGCUGGGUGGGAAAACCCAUAUAAACAAUGCAACACACGCGAAGAGAUUUCAUUGCGGACUCAAAGCCAAAGGAUAUAUGCUAAUGCGAUACAUAUACUUGAUGGGUGCUAUCAUACCAGCACUAAUGCACCGAAUCCCAUCAGAACACUGCAGUUAAGCGUGCUUGGGCGAGAGUAGUACUAGGAUGGGUGACCUCCCGGGAAGUCCUCGUGUUGCACCUUUUUUUGUUCCUCUUGAUUCUUUUGUUUUUAUUUUUUUUUUUGUCUUUUCAUUUGAAAAACAAGGCAUCUUCCGAAGGACGCU